rnacentral:lncRNA from 1 species
UUUGGUUUGGGCUUUGGUGCCUCCUCCUCCACAGCGGCCUCUGCCUUUGCUGCCUGUUUCUCAACCUCCUUUUUGGCUUCUUUCUUUGGUUCAGCCUUUGGUUUAGUUUCUUUUGGCUGGGCAGCAGGCUUCUUUGAAGGAACAGGUGGUAGAGAGACUGCCUGCUUCACUUCACCAAGAAUCCUCUUGAUUUUUGGCUGAUUAACCAAGGUCCAAAAGUACCUCUCAACAUGAGGGAAUUCAGAGGUAAAACUCUUGGUCAUGAUCUGGAAGAAACCCAAGUAGAGAUUACAUGUCAUGAUAAUGUCAGCAAGGGUGACAGCAUGUCCAACAAGAAAUGUGUUGGAAGCAAGAUGAGUGUUCAAAGCGCCAAGGGCUCUCUUCAAUGCAGUAAUAGCAGCUUCCUCAGCCUACAUGCAAAAUACAAAUAAGAGAUUAAAAUGAAAUAGAUGGGCAAAAUCAUACCAUUAAAGUAAAAUGAGCUACUACUGAAUUACAAAAAUAAAAUUUCUCUUUAUAUAGAUUAAUAAAUACAUCAGAAUGGGGGAGAAAACAACCUAAUCUCUUAAAAAAAUAAUGAGGAGAAAACCCAUGCCUACUUGAUUAUCAAUUCAAUGGGCAUUCCCUUCUACCAAAAUUACUUAAUAGUGCUUGAGUUGAUUCCUUUCCAGAAACUAUGCAUGGGAAAACACCACCACAUUAAGCAUGUACUAAAUGUUGUGUAACUAAUCCUCUCUAAAAUAAAUAAAACAAGAAUCAUAGACAGGUAAUCAAUGCCAAUUUUCCCUUCACCAUGCCCACCUUAAUAUUAUGUAUUUUGAUGACUAAGCUGCCUUAUUCCAAUUUUAACAUGGGACCUAUUGUCUUAUAAUUAGAAAGAAACAAAGACUAAGUAUGGCCCCAGCAAAUCAAGCUUAAUUAAAAUGAUAAAAGAAUCUGCGAGGAAAGAUAGUAGAACUUACUGGAGGAAGGUAAACACCGUAACCAAGUCUUGGAUACAACCAUUUGGCAAUAUUAGCAUCAAUUUCCAUGGCUGCAAAAUCAAUCCAUUGCUCGAUAUGACCCUAAGAAAGCCAAAGUAAUACAUACAAACAAUUACUUCCAUGGUUUAAAAUAAACUUAACUGAUGACAGAAGAAAACAAGACCAUUGUACUAUAAGAAUCUUACAUAAUCAAUCAAUGUAGAACCACAUAUAGGGUUGUUAACCUUUGAGCGAGCAACUGCAGAGAAAAGUAUACCAAUAAGUAAACAAACAUUAGAGGAAGAAAAUUUAGGAUAUGGAGUCAGCAGAUCUUCUCACCAUAACGAGCAAUGGCAUUGCUCUCAAAUACCGGACCCUCAGGUGUUUCCAACACAGGAACCUAGAAGAGUUAUAAAUAUCUUCAGUGAACUGACCUAGAAAAAAGGUUACGUAACAUGCAUAAAAAAAAUUCUCCAGUUUAAAUAUAUUAAUAGGCGUUACAAGGUCACCUUCCCCAAAGGGUUCAUCUUGAUGAACUCAGGAGUCUUAUUUGACACACCCAUCUCAAAAUUCUCAACCAUUUUGACCUGCACACCACUAUAUUCUGCAGCAAUGAGUGCCUUAAAGGCAUUUUUGUUUGUUUUUCCUGCAUGCAAGAUCUGCAUGUAAAUCAACACACCACAUUGAUUAGAUGAACCGGUUGAUUAAGAAGUUGAAUACAAUGUCAAACACCAGUCACUCCCUACAACUAAUCCAGGAAAAUCCUGAAAUUAAUCCUUUUCGCCCUAUAAAUUCUCUUAAAGACCAUUCCCUUUACAUUCUAAACUACUAAACGGUACUUAGCAUUUCCAUCUACCAUACACAAUUAACCUAAUUGACGUAACAUCUCGCCAUCAAUCUUUCUUCUGGUCAAUGGUUCCCAAUUGAAAUCUAAGGUGGUAGAGUUAAAAUCAAAAUCAAUUUUUUUUUAUCGUUAUGAUUAGUAUCUACAAAUCCAUAAACUAUUCCAUUGAUAGUAACUAUAUAAAACAUAUUCAAUCUGCCACUUCCUUCGCAAUGUAAAAAAGCUAGUUACAAAUUUCACUUUCUAAUUCUACUCGAAAUAACUUCCACCUAGUCAUUAGGUGUCAAUUCUGUCAACAGUUAAACUACCACAAGAAACGAAACUAAUAUAGAUACACAGAUAUAAAGCUUACCAGAGCCAUGGCUUGAUAGAAAAGAGCGCUACGAUUUGAGAACUGAGAUCUGGAAAUUGAAAAACAGAGAAUAAAAAUAAACGGAAUAAGGAAAAAUAUUCAAGCAGGAGAACUUGAUUGCCAUGUAUUAAGGAGAAAAAAUGAGAGAAGGGAUUAAGAAAGAACCUUAGACGAAAUCGCAGCGAGAAGGAGCGGGAGAGACUGCGGGACAAAGAGAGAAUAAAAGAAGGGGGGACUAGGGUUUUUGUAGAGUAGAGCGAAUGUGAUGUGGGGUUAUCAGUUCGGGUUCCGGUUUAGAUCCAGAUUUACUAACCCCUUUCUUUUUCCGGUUCUUUUAAGCGUGUCUUUCAAGUAAUAAGUGGGUGAGUUAGAAGUAGAGGUGAUCAUGGGCCGUGCCGGGCCGGGUCGGGUUCGGGCUGAACUCAUACAAAUUUUUAGGCCUGUUUAUUAGGCCCGGGUUCGGCUCGAAAUAUGGGCCUAAAAUUUUGUCCAAGCCCGACUCGAAAUAAAAUUACUAAGCCCGGCCCGGCCCGGCCCGGCCCAUAUUAAAAAAUUUUUUAUUUCAUUAAAUAAAAAAAUUUAAAAAUAUAAUAAAUCAAAUAUAUUUAAAAACAUAAAAACAAAUAUUAAAACAAAUAAAAAUAAUACUAAAACAAUUCUUAAAACAAUACACAAAUUAAUAAUAUAAUAAAAAAUAGUUAUAUUAAAAAUUUAAAAUAAUUAAAAAUAAAAUAAAUAUAUAUAUAUAUAAUUUGGGCAGGGCCGGGCCGGGCCGGGCCCGGGCCAAAAAACUCUUACCCGAGGCCCGGCCCGUUUUCUAAACGGGCCUCAUUUUUUUGCCCAAGCCCAUUUUUCGGGCCUAUAUUUUUACUCAAACCCUCCCAUUUUUUGAGCGGGCCUUCGGGCCGGGCCGCCCAGCCCAUGAUCAGCUCUAGUUAGAACUAGUUUAAUGGGAUUACCAUUUAAAGAAUAAUUAAAUAAAAAUUAUAAAUUAUAAAUUAUAUAAAAAAAUUCUCAUAACCAUUGAACCGUUGUUUUUCUCCAAUUUUCUUUUUCACAACAGUUUUGCUUUUUAUGUAAUUACACGCAACUAAUUUAUCUGGAUAGAUUAAAUCACGAAUUUUUAGUUUAAUUCUUUAGUUCACUCUGAACAACACUACUUAUCUCAAAUUUUUUAUUUUGUGUCUAGUUAUUAUUAUUAUUAUUAUUAUUAUUAUUAUUAUUAUUAACUUGGAGUAUAAUGAUUUAAAUUUUUGCUCAUGCAUGUUGAGGUUCUUUAUUUAGAUAAAAGUUAAUUCAAGUUGGGUUCAAACAUUGUUAUAUGUGAUAUUUUAUUUAAAAAAAAUUAAACUAUCCUCGAAUAAUUUAAUUUAUUUUAAAUAUGAAAAAUAUGUUAAAUUUGUAAAAUAAAUCUGAAAUAAAACUUAAUAAAUUAGGAUCUAUUAUGUCAAAUCAUCAAGAAUAAAUCAAAAACAAAACUAGAUGCAGAAGCGUACCUGAAUCCAUGAAUUCCUUGAAGUUUUACCUGAUCUUGGGGAUUUGAUCUUCUAAAUUGGAACACAAGAAAUUCAGAGAAUAUUUGCUCUUUCUUUCCUAAUGAUGAGAUAUUAGAAAAGAUAUCUUGUAUAUAAUUUGGGGACCAUAACCCUAAACUUCACAUAUUUGACCCAUACUUUAUUUAAUAAUUAAAACCCAGUAAAAUUUUAACCAAAUUAGAUCACUUUUAAUUUUGGCUAAUCUAUCAUGAUAAUAAAUAAUAACAUAUAAUUACCCUUAUUAUAUAUGUGAUGUCCAUAUUUUCCAACAAUCUCCCACUUGGACCACAUAUAUGUACUAAUUACUCUAUAAUUACAUGUCAUUAUAUAACCUUAUGAGCUCAAAAUUUUACUAUCAUAUCCAAAAGGUAUUCCAAAUAAUCUCGUCCAUUAAUUAUGUUAACAUAGAACCAAGGCGACUUUCGUUACGUAUAUCGUAACUAAAUCCAUCCAUGAUUACGUAUAUUAACACAACCAAAUGACAUAGAUCAAGUAUGGAUGUGUAGCAUGGAACAUGCAAUAUGAUCUAAACAUGUCUAUUUCCAAUUAGUCCUCCUUAGUGAGACCAAACCUUACCAAAAUCAGAGUGUGAAUAAACCAAAUAAACUUCAUUUCUGCAGAAAAUAAACUUAAUAUCUUUAAACUGAAAUAACUGAAAAUGUGUCUAUGACAUAAAAGCAUUUAAAAAUACUAUCUCCCACUAAAAUCAAAUAUCUUUUAAAUGACAUUACACUUAUAUGAGCAGUGUGCUCUUAUAAGACCUUAGGUGUAGUUCCUUAAUAAGCGGAUCUACAAUCAUGGAGUUUGUCCUAAUAUGCUUUAUAAGCACCUAACCACUCUGGACUUUUACUUUAACAACCAUGAACUUAAAGUCUAUGUGUUUUUACUUUGAUGUGCUCCUAUUGAUAUUGGAAUAAAAGACUGCAAAUUGUUUUCACAAUUUGCACCUUAAUGAAAAAAUCUUGUAUCCAUAUUCCAUCAAAAUCGAAGCCUAUAUACUUGAUGAUCUCUAACUGAUUAGACCUCCGAUAUGUGAACAUGUAAUCUUUUGUUCUCUGAAAAUACCUUAUAACCCUCUUGGAUGCGAUCUAAUGGUCCAAACCAGGGUUGCUUAAAAUAUCUGCCUAACAUCCCAAUAGUGUACACAAUAUUCCAAUGUAUACAAACUUGAACAUAUAUUAGACUUUCUACUACUAAAAUGUAAAAAAAUCUAAUGCAUUUUUGUAAUCUCAAAAUCAUUCUUAGGGCAUUGAUUGAAACUAUACUUAUUAUUGAUAAGCAGUAUGUCAUUAACAUAUAAAACCAAAUAUAGAACCUUACUCCCACUAAACUUAUGGUAUAUACGAUUAUCAAUAAAAUUCAUCUCUAAACCGAAUAAAAUAAUCAUUUGGUAAAAUUUGUAAUAUUAUUGACGAGAAGUUUGGUUAAGCCCAUAGAUGAAGUUCUUUGCAAAUCAUUAACUUUGCAUCAUUAGACACAAAGCUUUCUAAUUGCGCCACAUAAAUGUAUGAUCAAUGUUACCAUUGAGAAACCAUUAACUUAAUAUUCAUCUGAUGUAGCUUAAUGUCAAAAUAUUCCACUAAAGCCAUUAUAACCCUUUCUCUAGUGGACCUUUUUAAUGACAUUCAUUCUUGAGGUUGUUAAGUUUGUUUUUUGGAACAAUUACCUCAUCUUGAAUAGGGAGUUGUUUAACAUUGUCUUAUUGAGGUUCUAGAUUCACUUCUUAAUCAAUGAUAGGUAUGAGAAUCUAAACAUCAUCAAAAGUGAUAGUAAGAAUUGAGUUAAAAUUCAAUUCCUCCUUAAAAACAAUGUAUCUAACCUUAUUUCUCCUUCCAAACUCAACAUCCUAAAAGAAUGUUGCAAUUCUCAUCUCAAAAAAAUAUUCCUAAUUGUGGGAUUAUAAAAUUCAUAGCCCUUAGAUCGCUCAGUAUUUCCUUGACCUUAUACUUUAUAGACAUCAAAGAAGUUAGAAAUGAUGUCAUUUCAACCUUAUCAUUUUUAGCAAAACGUUUCUCAAUUUCGUCAAUGAAACCUUAGCCUGAGUAAUCUUUUCAGAUUCUAUGCCCUUAAAGGCUUCUAAAAUGUUGUGCCUCAUGAUCAUUAAACUCAUGCAAUUUGAAUGAUUCUACCUCUCAAAAUCCCUUUGUAACACUCUGAAAAUUUCUACAGUAAGAUAUUAUCCUUAAUAUAGUAAAAUAAGGAAAUAAAGUGACAAGAAGAGGAAAAUUGAGUUAUGUCACUGGGAAAUAUAUUAUGACAUAUCGAUUCAAGAAAGGACUAAAUUAUAAAAGUGAGAAAAUUUUUGUGGCUCAAGAGUAAAUACUCCAAAUUUGAGGGAUUAAAGUGUAAAUAUAAAAAAGUUGAAGGACUAAUAUUGCAAAUAUUUUAAGGGUGGAAUGAUCUAGAAACCAAGGAAAAUUGAUGAAUUAGGACCAAAUUGAAUAGGUGAAGAACUAUGAGGGACUAAAUUAUAAUUUUACCAAAUUAAGUGAUGACUCAAGAAUGGAAUUUUAAAAGAUCACAAAGGGCAAAAUGGUCAAUUGGAAGAGAGAGAAAUCUAGAAAGUAAUGUUAUGUUGGUGAUAUUUUAUAAUUAUAUAAUUAGAUAAUUAUUAUUUAUUUAAUAUUUUAAUAAGAUAUUUUAUUAUUUUAUUAUUUUAUUUAGUCUAUAUAUAUAUGUGUGUGUGGAAAAAAAACACACACUUACACACCAUCCAUCAUCUUUCCCAUGCACUAAUGUGAGAGGAAGAGAGAAUGAAAGAAAGUUUUACUUUCUUUAUAAUUUGGUCCUUCUACCAAAAAUUCACCAUUUUCACCCAAAAAUCAAAAGAAUUUCCAUAGCUACCAAGAGAGAAAAAUGUUAAGAAAACUAUGAGAAGUUAGAAUAUCAAGUUGGAUUCAAGAAAAAGAAGUUGAAGGAGAGAGAAAAUCAAGUUAAAGAUUGAAAUCAAUGGAACAAGGUAAGAACAUCAAGAUUUCAAUACAUUUUUAAGAUUAAUAUUAUUGAAAAAGCAUGGAAUUGAUGUUAAUGUAGAGUUUUCUUAUAUAUGGUCUUAUGUUCUUGAUAUGUUAGUGAAGAAAAAAAUAAGAGAAAGUAAUGAGAAAUAGUGUAGAGAAAGAAAAUAAAGGUGUUAUAAACAUGGUAAAUAAACAUCUUGCACUAAAACAGUUUUGGACAGCAGCAGUAGGCUAAAUUUAAAAAAUCACCAUAAAUUGUGGAAAUAGUAUUAGAGGAUUAAAAAAAUAUUGAAUUAAAUCUUAUUGAGUCUAGUUUCUUAUAGAAAAAACGGUACAAGAAAUGGAAUCGUAAAUUGUGAGAUAUAGUAAAUUUAGUGAGACAAUGUCAGAAUGAUUUCGAGUUCCCUUGUUCUGACUUUGGAAAAUCAUAAAAAAUUGGAGAAAAAUAAUUAGGUUCUUAAAGUUAUAUUUUUAAAAUUCUGAAUGAGUAAUAGAAACAAACGAGAACAUCAUCUGAAUCCUGUACAAUGAGAUAAUUAAUUUUUUAGUAAAGAAGGGUCGGAACUGUCAGACAACAGAAUAAGGGUGACUUUAAAGAAUAAAAUGUACUUAUUGGCUAAACCAAAAAUUCUUAAAAUUUUAUGGUAAGAAUAUACGUAAGUCUAGUUUCAUAGAAAAUUAGCGGAUCUUAAUUUCGAGUUUUGCAGCUCUAGAUAUAAAUAAUUAGUGACUGUGACGCAAAUGGACAAUUUUGAAUAUACAUAUAAGUAAAUAGUGAAAUUAUUGAUAAUGUUACUUGUAGCAUGUUAUAUAAAUAUAGGAUGUGGAAUGGAGAGGAUGAGGAGGAAAAUAUGCAUGAAUAUUCAGCUAGCAUGGCUAAUUUGCACGUUUUAGGCUCAGGGACUAAAUUGAAUAAAAGUAAAACUUUAUGGGCAAUUUUGUAAAAAUGUUAGAAAUGACCAAUUUGCAUGAAAUGGAUUAUUUAAUUAUUUAAAAUUGCAAACUUGAAUGAAAUUAUUAACUUAGUUCAAGAUCGGGGAAAAACAUGUUUUAAGGAUUAAAUUGAAAAGUGUUGAAAUUAUGGAAAAUUAUGAUAUUUUAUAGAAUUCAUGGGUUGUUAUCAAUUUGUAUGAGAAUAACGGCUAGAAAUAAGGAUUAAAUUGCAAGAAUUUUAUUUUUUUGAGCCUAAAGAUGAAAUCAUCAUUAAUUAAAAAGUUUAGGGGCAAAAUGGUAAUUUUGUUUAGAGCAUUGAAUGUAUUAGAACAUGAAAUAAAUGAAAACGACGAUCAAAUUUAUUUAUAAAGAUUCGGAUGACUCGAAUACGAGACUUGAACGUGGAAAAGAAAAAAUAUCAGAUUAAUGAAAUUAUAAACAUGAACAAGCAGCGAGGUAAGUUAGUGUAACUUGAAUUGUAUUUUUAAAUGCAUGAAAUAUCGAUAUAAAGAAUUAUCCGAUUUAUUUUUAUGAAGAAAUGGCAAGAGAAUGAUAUUUAUCAUGGCAUGUAAAUAUGUGAUUAUCUUUGAAAUUCAGUAUAUUGAGACGAGUAAUAAAUUCAAGUAAAACAUGUCGAGAAAAAUAAGUACGUUUAAGGGACAAUAUGUUUGAUUUUAAUUGGUUCCAAAUAUGAACGUUAGAUGAAAUAAAAUAUCUGAUAAAUAAAUCGAUACCUCCGGUAAUGCUCCGUAACUCUAUUUCGGUGAUGGAUUCGGGUUAAGGGCGUUACACCCUUUUAACAUAGGGGGUGCUUUCCGCAGUGAGAGGUGCGAGUAGUUCUUCCUUUAGUGCAAGGUUUAUGUUCAUACAGCCAAGCACUAUAAGUAAGUGCCUUUUCCAUUCAUUGAAAUUAGUCCCAUUAAGCAUGGGUAUAGAAUUUAUAUUAGCGGAUAUUGUGGCAGUAAUAUGAAUUAACUGAAUAUAGAACAAAAAAUAAGUAAAAAUAAGCUCACAGCAAUAUUCAUAAGUAAACAAUAAAUUCAGGAUAAUGGUUAAUCCUAUCUCAAGAUACCAAACACAACAUUAAUAUCAAUUUUUUGGACGAUAAUAUUAACAGUAAGCGGUACUUUUGUUGUAGCAAUCAAACAUUGACAAUAAAUCAUGUCAAACAAUGAAUUAAUCUUUAGACUGACAUAUUGCUCACAUAAAGUACCUUAUAAUUGUCACACAUUUAUCGCCACAGAUGUCGUUGAAAUUCUGCCAAAUAUUAACUUACCUUUGGGUCAAUUAAUAAACGCAUGAAUUACAAAAAUAUAUAAUCAUCUUGCUAUUUUAAAUAAACUAAUCUACACAAAAGAGGUCACUUUGGCGGUAUUUUGUUUCAACUAAUUUAUUUAAAAAUACUAGACAUCCUUAAUUAAAACCUAAAGCCAAAAUCUGAAUUUAUUUGUUUCAAAAUAUUUCUUUUAAUUUCAUCUUUCAAUCAAAUUAAAAGAUAAUAGUAUAUAUAUGUAUAUAUAUAUUUACCCCAAAACAACAUACAAUGAUGUUGGCAAAUAUAAUAAUAGUUGAAUAAAUCUUAAACCAUAAACAACCUCACAUAAGACUUCAAAUUUAAACUAAAAUAAUUUGAAUAAAGAUAAACCUCAACUUAAGAUAUCGGACACUCCAUUAAUAUUUCAUCUUUGAAAAAAAUAUUAACUUGUAAGUGAUAUCUUGGUGUAGUAAUCAAACAUUGACAAUAAGAACAUGUCGAACAAUAAAUCUUCCUAUGAGCCAAUUUAUUACUCACAUGUAAAACCGAAUAAUCGUCACAUGUUUAUCACCAUAGUUGCACAUGUAAUAUUAUUAACCUUCAUUUGGGCCGAUCAAUAUCAACAUAACUUAAGUUACAUGCACACAAACUUUUAUAUUUUAAAACAAAAUAAUUUAUACAAAGAAAUCACUUUGGUGACUUUUUGCUUCAAUUAAGUUAUUUUAAAAUAUAUAUAAACAUACCAAUAUUCAAAUUUAAAUUUCCCCAAUAGUCAAAUGUUAAAACUAUUUUUUUAUUGCUUUAUAGACUCUAUGUAACACCCCCACGCCCGAAACUGUCACCGGAGUCAAGCUUGAGGUGUUACUAAACUUAUCUUACCUUUUAAACAACUCUAAACCACUUAUUUUAAUUUUUGGAAUAAACUAUUUUUCUGCGUCAUGGUUGCUUAAAAAUUCAUUUCUCGAGUUUCAAAACUCAAAAUUAAGAUCCGUAAAUUUUUCCUGAAACUAGACUCAUAUAUCUAUCUACUAAUUUUUUUCUAGAAUUUUUGACUCGGCCAAUUAGUACAGUUUAUUAGUUAAAGUUUCCCCUGUUUCAAAACUCAACUACACUGACCUCUUCUUACUACAAGCCAUGUUUCUUCCUGUAAAAAAAUUCAUAUGACUAAGCCGUUUGUUUCUCUCAAAACUAGAUUCAACAAGGAUUCUAACCAUAUAAAUUACACCUUCUAAUUAGUUUUGUACAAUUUAUGGUGAAUUUCCAAAUUUGAAACAGGGGAUCCAGAAAUCGCUCUGACCCUGUUUCACUAAAACUUAGAUAUCUCAUAAAAUAUAAUACCUUUACCUGUUUUUCUUAUUCCAUAAGAAAAUAUAUAUAAUAAGCUUUAAUUUCAUAUAUUAUUCAUCUUCAAACUAUGUUUCUGAAAUUUUUAGUGAUUUUUGAAAGUUACGUCAUUUCUGUUACUUGAAUCUGUUUUUAGGUUACUUUCACAUUUUUCAUAAUUUUCAUGUGAUAAUCAUCAAUCAAUCAUACAUAUUAAUAAAUAUGUAUAUCAUCGGCUAUUUUAUUAGCUAAUCACUAGCAAGUAUUUACACAUCAUUCAUUGUUCAUAUUAUACCAAAAGUAGCUAAGUUUCUAUACAUGCCAUACCCAAAACAAAACGUCUAGUUAUACCGAGUUAUUUCUUUGAUAGUGUGAUCGGCCUCCGACGUUUCCUUCGAUCCCCGAGUGACUAGAUAAGUACUAUAAGAAGAAGAAAAUAAAGAGAUUAAGCACUAGGCUUAGUAAGCUUACAAGCAAAUAAAUCACAACAUUCAACAUAAUGGAUAAUUAUGCAUAAUAUCAUCUAACAUCAUAAAUUUCUUUACUUCUCAAUUUGUAUCUUCUUCUUUAUUCCCUUACCUUCUUUCUUACUUGACCUUUCCUUUUUCAUAAGUAUAAUCUACUUUUCCUUUGCUGUUAAUUCACUGUAAUUUAACUCGUAUCCUGACCCGUUGAACCACUCGGAAUACUAAGGAUACUAGGGUCGUUCCUGUCUAUCAAUAUCCUGCCAAUGCCAUGUCUUUGACAUGGACUUACAUGAAUUAUUCCUGUCUCCAAUGCCAUAUAUAAUAUGGACUUACAUGGCUCAAUCCUGUCUCCAAAGCCAUAUUUCUAAUAUGGACUUACAUGGCUCAUUUCUGUUUUGUCCUGUCAACUCUAAUAUCCUAACAUUCCUAGGGUUCAACCGGGGCUUUCUAACACUUUUCCUCUGUCACUCCACCUUAAAUUCGACUUUACAUAUUUUCAUAACAUAAGUAUAUAAAUGCUGGAAAUUGACAAUAAUAAUGUAAAAUAAAAGAAUAUUGCAUUUAUUUACUGUAACUUACCUUGAUACAAAAUGUGACUAAACUUUACAAUUUAGUCCUUUACUUUUUCUUUUCCCCGAUCUACUCCCGAAUUUCGUUCUUCUUGAUCUAUAAUAGCAAAUUUAACUUAUUUAAUAUUCACAUUUAUUAAAACAGUCCUUGACCCAAACUUUUGCAAAAUUAUAUUUUUACCCCUAAACUUUCACAUAUUUGCACUUUUGCCCCAAGGCUCGUAAAUUAAACUUCAUCCUAUUUUCUUAUGUUUUAUGAUAUGCUGAUCAUUUUUCCCUUCUAUGGCAAUAUCAAAAUCACACUCUAACAUAUACUUAUGACUAUUGGUAUUUUUUUCCAAUUUAAGCCCUUUUACUCGUUUUCACUUAAAACCGAGUAGCAUAAGUUGUUUAACAUAAUUUAAAACCUCAUAUUCUAUCAUAAGACACCAAAAUACACAAACUUCAGUCAUGGGUAUUUUUCCAAAUAUGAACCCUAGGCUGAAUUAUUGCUAGAAUAAGCUUAAUCAAGUUACCGGGACUCCAAAAACGUAAAGAUCAUUAAAAACGGGGCUUGGAAUCACUUACUAUGAAGCUUGAAAGUUGAAGAAACCCCAGCUAUGGAGGAGAGCAAAAAUCGGCAGAAACUAAUUGAGAAGAUGACCAUUUUUGUGUUAUUUUUCCCUAUUUAAUUCAUUUAAUAUCCAAAUGACCAAAUUACCCCUCCUUACUAAACUUUCAAAAAUUCCUUCCAUGUCCUAAUUUUUGUCCAUGAACUUAAAAUUGGUCAAAUUGUUAUUUAAACCCUCCUAAUUAAUAUUCCAAAGUAAUUUCAUACUAAAAACUUCUAGAAUGCAAGUUUUGCAAAUUAUUCAAUUUAGUCCCUAACCUCAACUUAAGCAUUUUAUGCAUGGAAUUUCAUCACGAAAUUUUCACACAAUCAUGCAAUCAUACCAUGAACCUUAAAAUAAUAAUAAAAUAAUUUUUUCUACCUCGGAUUUUUGGUUUCGCAACCACUAUUCCGUUUAGGCCCUAUUUUGGGAUGUUACAUUUCUCCCCCCUUUUAGGGAUUUUCGUCCCGAAAAUCUUACCUGUGAAGAGAUUUGGGUACUGUUUUUGCAUAGCCUCUUCGGGUUCCCAUGUAGCCUCAUCUACCCCGUGUCUAUUCCAUAGUACUUUUACAAGUGCAAUAUUUUUAUUCCUUAAUUGCUUUACCUCUCGAGCUAGAAUCUUUGCCGGUUCUUCACCGUAAGUCAUGUCUGGCUGAAUCUCAACCUCUGUCUGAGAAAUCACAUGUGAUGGAUCUGAACAAUAACGACGUAGCAUAGACACAUGAAAUACAUUAUGAAUCUUCUCUAACUCAAUCGGAAAAACUAACCGAUAUGCUAAUGGUCCGACUCUCUCAAUUACUUCAAACGGUCCAAUAAAACGUGGACUUAGUUUGCCUUUCUUGCCAAAUCUGAGAACUUUCUUCCACGGGGAUACUUUCAGAAAAAACUUUGUCACCAACUUGAUAUUCGAUCUCUUUUCUUUUUAAAUCUGCGUACGACUUCUGCCUGUCUGAAGCUGCUUUUAAACAAUUUCUGAUAACUUUCACUUUUUCUUCUGUUUCUUUAACUAGAUCAACCCCGUAAAUCUGGCUUUCUUUAAGCUCUGUCCAAUAUAAAGGUGUACGACAUUUACGUCCAUACAAAGCUUCAUAAGGUGUCAUCUUCAAACUUGACUGGUAACUAUUAUUAUAGGCAAACCCUACCAAUGGUAAGUAUUUUUCCCAACUACCUUGAAAUUCUAAUACACAACAUCUAAGCAUAUCUUCAAGUACCUGAAUAACUCUCUCUGACUGACCGUCGGUUUGAGGAUGGAAAGUUGUACUAAAACUCAACUUUGUGCCCAAAGCCUCUUGUAAUUUCUUUCAAAACCGUGAAGUAAAUCUUGGAUCUCUGUCUGAAAUAAUCGAUAAUGGUACCCCAUGUAGCCUGACUAUCUCUGAAAUAUACAACUCCGCCAACUUGUCAAGUGAAUAAUCCAUACGAACUGGGAUAAAAUGAGCCGACUUCGUUAACUUAUCAAUCACAACCCAUAUUGCAUCUUUCUUUCUCGGUGUAAACGGUAAUCCUGUCACAAAAUCUAUAGUAACUGAUCCCAUUUCCAUUUCAGAACUAGCACAGGCUGCAAUAAUCCUGAGGGUACCUGAUGUUCGGCCUUUACCUGUUGACAAAUCAAGCAUCUAGAAACAAACUCUGAAAUAUCUCUUUUUAUUCCUACCCACCAAUACAAUUUUUUCAAAUCAUUAUACAUUUUUGUACUGCCUGGAUGAAUAGAUAAAGGACUGCUAUGUGCUUCCUGUAAAAUCUUCCGAAUAAGCUCAUCAUUCUUUAGUACACAUAUUCUGUCUCUAAACAUCAAACAACCAUCAGAACCAAUCCAGAAAUCUGAUUCUAUGCCUGACUCACAUUGAGCUCUUUUAGCUUGUAACUCAUUAUCAUCUUUCUAAGCUUCACAAAUCUCUUCAAGAAAUACCGGUUUAGCUCUCAAUUCAGCUAAAAUAGAACCAUCAUCUGACAUGGCUAAAUUGGUAUUCAAAGCUCGCAAUGUAAAUAAAAGUUUCCUACUUAAAGCGUCAGCAACUACAUUUACCUUACCUGGGUGAUAAUCAAUCACUAAUUCAUAAUCUUUAAGCAAUUCCAACCAUCUUCUUUGCCUCAAAUUCAAAUCUUUUUGAGUCAUCAAGUAUUUCAAGCUUUUAUGAUCGGUAAAUAUCCGCCACCUUUCACCAUACAAAUAAUGUCUCCAAAUCUUCAAUGCAAAUACAAUAGCAACUAGCUCUAAAUCAUGUGUCGGAUAAUUUUUCUCAUGUGGCUUCAAUUGUCUAGAGGCAUAAGCAAUUAUCUUUCCUUCCUGCAUGAGUACACAACCGAGCCCAUUCAAGGAUGCAUCACUGUAAAUCACAAAUUCUUUACUCGGUUCCGGCUGUACUAAGAUAGGAGCUUCCGUCAACAAUGCCUUUAACUUGUCAAAACUUUGUUGGAACUUCUCAGUCCAUUCAAACUUAACAUCCUUCCGUAGCAGUCUCGACAACGGGGUAGCUAUCAUGGAAAAUCCCUCCACAAAUCGUCUAUAAUAUCCGGCAAGACCAAGAAAACUUCUAACUUCUGAUACAUUUCUAGGAAGCUUCCAAUCAACAAUGGCUAAAAUCUUGCUCGUAUCAACCUUAAUACCUUCACCUGAGACAAUAUGUCCAAGAAAACCAACUUCUCGUAACCAGAACUCACUUUUGCUGAACUUGGCAUACAACUGAUUACCUCUCAGAAUUUGUAAAACUGUUCUCAAAUGCUCUGCAUGCUCAGUCUCAUCAUGAGAAUAAAUCAAAAUAUCAUCAAUGAACACAACUACAAACUUAUCUAAAUACGAUCUGAAAAUUCAGUUCAUUAAGUCCAUGAAAAUGGCAGGAGCAUUAGUCAAGCCAAAUGGCAUCACAAGGAACUCAUAAUGACCAUACCUAGUCCGAAAAGCAGUCUUCAGGACAUCUGACUCUUUAACUCGCAACUGAUAGUAUCCGAAUCUCAAAUCUAUCUUGGAAAACACAGUAGCUCCCUUCAAUUGAUCAAACAAAUCAUCAAUUCUAGGCAAUGGAUACUUGUUCUUUACUGUUACCUUGUUAAGUUACCGAUAAUCUAUGCAUAAUCUCAUCGAUCCGUCUUUCUUUUUCACAAAUAGCACUGGUGCACCCCAUGGUGAACUACUGGGUCUUACCAAGCCUUUAUCUGUUAAUUCUUGCAACUGAGCUUUCAAUUCUUUCAAUUCCAACGGAGCCAUUCUAUAAGGAGCAAUAGAAAUGGGCGUGGUACCUGGAAUCAACUCAAUACCAAACUCAACUUCUCUAACAGGAGGCAAACCUGGUAGUUCUUCCGGAAACACAUCGGGAAACUCACAUACCACAGGCACUGAUUCAAUUUUCAAUUCUGGAUCCUUAGUGUUUAACACAAAAGCAAGAUAAGCUUCAUACCCUUUUCUCAAACAUUUCUGAGCAGACAUAACAGAAAUUAUGGGAAAUAAACUAUCUGACUCUUCUGAAUUAACCCGAAGAAUUUCACCAUUUUCACACUUCAACUCAAUGAAUUUCUUUCUACAAUUCACUAUCACAUCAUGUGUAGUCAAUCAAUCCAUACCAAGAAUCACAUCAUACUCAUCAAAUGGCAAUAGCAUGAGAUCAGCAGGAAAACAGUAGCCUCUAAUCAUUAAAGGACAAUUUCUACAUACUUUAUCUACUAAUACAUGCUUGCCUAAUGGAUUCGAUACUUUAAUCACAAAUUCUGUAGAUUCUAUAGGCAUACUUAUACUAGGCAUCAAUUUCAUACAAACAUAAGAAUGAGUCGAACCCGGAUCAAUCAGAGCAAUGACAUUAAUAUCAUAUAGAGAAAAUGUACCCGUAAUCACAUCGGGGGAGGAUGCCUCUUCGCGUGCACGAAUAGCAUAAGUCCUUGCAGGGGCUCUAACAUCUGGUCUCACAGCCGAAUCUCUAAAGGUACCUCUGUUACUUGCUCCUACUCCCGGUUGCCUCGGUGAUCUGCCUCUAGUAGGAGCAUUUCCGGAUCUAGCACUCUGUGUUACUUCUCGGCUAGCCACUUCUGGACAUUCUCGUACAAAAUGAUCUGGAGCACCACAUUUAUAGCAAACAUUUUCGCCUGCCCGACAAGGACCAUAAUGAAGUCUACCACACCGUGGACACCCUGAUCUACCCUGUCUGACAUUACCUACACUCGUAGUCGAGGUGGUCUGAGCCUUCGGAUCCUUAAAUCUGUUACCUCUAUUCUGACUAGAUUGCCCUGCUGAAAAGCUAGAUCUGGUAGAAAACUCCACUGACAGUCGGAUAUCAUCAUUUAACCCAUCCUCAAACCUUUUACACAUGAUAGCCUCUGUGGACACACAUUCUCGAGCAUAUUUACUAAGCCUGACAAAUUCGCGCUCAUAAUCGGUCACUGUCAUAGUACCUUGUUUCAAUUCCAAGAAUUCCUUUCUCUUCUGGUCAAUAAACCUCUGACUGAUGUACUUUUUACGAAAUUCCUCCUGAAAGAAAUCCCAAGUGACCCUCUCCUUUGGUACAACUGAUACAAGUGUCUUCCACCAGUAGUAGGCUGAGUCUCUAAGAAGUGAUACUACACAUUUCAUACAUUCCUCGGGUGUACAAGAUAAUUCGUCAAAGACUCUGAUAGUAUUUUCUAACCAAAAUUCUGCUCUUUCUGCAUCAUCAUCUUUUGUUGCUCGGAACUCUUCUGCCCUUUGUUUCCUGAUUCUAUCAACUGGUGGCUUUUCUCUUACCACUGUACCUGUGACUGGGGAAGCUUGAGCUACAUGGGUAGCCUGAGAAUCAUGAGGGGGUGGAGGUCUAACUGCCGGAUUCGUACGAACGAACUCGGCAAACAAAUCAUUCAAAGCUCGGAAGAGAGCUUCUCGAGUCACUCCUCCCUGAUCAACUAUUACUGGCCUAUUCUCAGAUGGCGCUGCCCCUUCUAUGGGAGCAGGCGCAUUACUUUCUACAUCAUCAUCACCAGCUCGUCCGGGAUCCAUUACUAUAAAACAAAAUAUUUAAAAAUCGUCAGGAGUCGUCACACUAUCAAAAUACAAGUAUGGCAUGUAUAGCUAGACUUUUUCUCACACUAACUGUUCCGAGAACCGACUAAACCUGCUCUGAUACCAAUAAUGUAACACCCCCACGCCCGAAACCGUCACCGGAGUCAAGCUUGAGGUGUUACUAAACUUAUCUUACCUUUUAAACAACUCUAAACCACUUAUUUUAAUUUUUGGAAUAAACUAUUUUUCUGCGUCAUGGUUGCUUAAAAAUUCAUUUCUCGAGUUUCAAAACUCAAAAUUAAGAUCCAUAAAUUUUUCCUGAAACUAGACUCAUAUAUAUAUCUACUAAUUUUUUUCUAGAAUUUUUGACUUGGCCAAUUAGUACAGUUUAUUAGUUAAAGUUUCCCCUGUUUCAAAACUCAACUACACUGACCUCUUCUUACUACGAGCCAUGUUUCUUCAUGUAAAAAAAUUCAUAUGGUUAAGCCGUUUGUUUCUCUCAAAACUAGAUUCAACAAGGAUUCUAACUAUAUAAAUUACACCUUCUAAUUAGUUUUGUAUAUUUUAUGGUGAAUUUCCAAAUUUGAAACAGGGGAUCCAGAAAUCACUCUGACCCUGUUUCACUAAAACUCAGAUAUCUCAUAAAAUAUAAUACCUUUACCUGUUUUGCUUAUUCCAUAAGAAAAUAUACAUAAUAAGCUUUAAUUUCAUAUAUUAUUCAUCUUCAAACUAUGUUUCUGUAAUUUUUAGUGAUUUUUGAAAGUUACGUCAUUUCUGUUACUUGAAUCUGUUUUUAGGUUACUUUCACAUUUUUCAUAAUUUUCAUGUGAUAAUCAUCAAUCAAUCAUACAUAUUAAUAAAUAUGUAUAUCAUCGGCUAUUUUAUUAGCUAAUCACUAGCAAGUAUUUACACAUUAUUCAUUGUUCAUAUUAUACCAAAAGUAGCUAAGUUUCUAUACAUGCCAUACCCAAAACAAAACGUCUAGUUAUACCGAGUUAUUUCUUUGAUAGUGUGAUCGGCCUCCGACGUUUCCUUCGAUCCCCGAGUGACUAGAUAAGUACUAUAAGAAGAAGAAAAUAAAGAGAUUAAGCACUAGGCUUAGUAAGCUUACAAGCAAAUAAAUCACAACAUUCAACAUAAUGGAUAAUUAUGCAUAAUAUCAUCUAACAUCAUAAAUUUCUCUACUUCUCAAUUUGUAUCUUCUUCUUUAUUCCCUUACCUUCUUUCUUACCUGACCUUUCCUUUUUCAUAAGUAUAAUCUACUUUUCCUUUACUGUUAAUUCACUGUAAUUUAACUCGUAUCCUGACCCAUUGAACCACUCGGAAUACUAAGGAUACUAGGGUCGUUCCUGUCUAUCAAUAUCCUGCCAAUGCCAUGUCUUUGACAUGGACUUACAUGAAUUAUUCAUGUCUCCAAUGCCAUAUAUAAUAUGGACUUACAUGGCUCAAUCCUGUCUCCAAAGCCAUAUUUCUAAUAUGGACUUACAUGGCUCAUUUCUGUUCUGUCCUGUCAACUCUAAUAUCCUAACAUUCCUAGGGUUCAACCGGGGCUUUCUAACACUUUUCCUCUGUCACUCCACCUUAAAUUCGACUUUACAUAUUUUCAUAACAUAAGUAUAUAAAUGCUGGAAAUUGACAAUAAUAAUGUAAAAUAAAAGAAUAUUGCAUUUAUUUACUGUAACUUACCUUGAUACAAAAUGUGACUAAACUUUACAAUUUAGUCCUUUACUUUUUCUUUUCCCCGAUCUACUCCCGAAUUUCGUUCUUCUUGAUCUAUAAUAGCAAAUUUAACUUAUUUAAUAUUCACAUUUAUUAAAACAGUCCUUGACCCAAACUUUUGCAAAAUUAUAUUUUUACCCCUAAACUUUCACAUAUUUGCACUUUUGCCCCAAGGCUCGUAAAUUAAACUUCAUCCUAUUUUCUUAUGUUUUAUGACAUGCUGAUCAUUUUUCCCUUCUAUGGCAAUAUCAAAAUCACACUCUAACAUAUACUUAUGACUAUUGGUAUUUUUUUCCAAUUUAAGCCCUUUUACUCGUUUUCACUUAAAACCGAGUAGCAUAAGUUGUUUAACAUAAUUUAAAACCUCAUAUUCUAUCAUAAGACACCAAAAUACACAAAUUUCAGCCAUGGGUAUUUUUCCAAAUAUGAACCCUAGGCUGAAUUAUUGCUAGAAUAAGCUUAAUCAAGUUACCGGGACUCCAAAAACGUAAAGAUCAUUAAAAACGGGGCUUGGAAUCACUUACUAUGAAGCUUGAAAGUUGAAGAAACCCCAGCUAUGGAGGAGAGCAAAAAUCGGCAGAAACUAAUUGAGAAGAUGACCAUUUUUGUGUUAUUUUUCCCUAUUUAAUUCAUUUAAUAUCCAAAUGACCAAAUUACCCCUCCUUACUAAACUUUCAAAAAUUCCUUCCAUGUCCUAAUUUUUGUCCAUGAACUUAAAAUUGGUCAAAUUGUUAUUUAAACCCUCCUAAUUAAUAUUCCAAAGUAAUUUCAUACUAAAAACUUCUAGAAUGCAAGUUUUGCAAAUUAUUCAAUUUAGUCCCUAACCUCAACUUAAGCAGUUUAUGCAUGGAAUUUCAUCACGAAAUUUUCACACAAUCAUGCAAUCAUACCAUGAACCUUAAAAUAAUAGUAAAAUAAUUUUUUCUACCUCGGAUUUUUGGUUUCGCAACCACUAUUCCGUUUAGGCCCUAUUUUGGGAUGUUACAGAAAUAACCCAAAAUAAGGUUGUCUUAAUAAUGCAAUAAAAAACUGAAAACCUUAAUUUUUUUUGACUAUUUCUUUUUUUGUUCCAAAACCAUAUAUAUCGAAACCAAAUAGAAAUAAUGUAGUGGUUCAAAGCUAAAUAAUUAACAAGCACAUGUAUUCAUAAUUUUGGCAUGGAUAAAAACACCAAAGCAAUUCACACAUAUACAUGUAUUCAUAAUCAAAUAGAAAAACUUACCUGAAUUUACCAUGUAAAUCUAAAGUUGUAUUUAUGAUUAAACAGAUAUUCACAUAAAUACUUGAAAAAUAUUUUCAAGCCAAUAAAUCUCAAAAACAAAAUCAUAAUAGUUGGCAUAUCCCACAAUUCAUACAAUAAACCAUAUCAUCAUAAUCUAACCAAAUAUUUGGAACCAUAAGAUGCCAAAACCUAAAAUUAUAGAACCAAACUUAAAACCAAAUUAUUUAAAUAUGAAUAUAGUUGACAUGAAUUUGCACCAAAGCACCCGUAGAAUUGAAUAUAUAACCAUAGCAAUAAUAAUAAUAAUAAUAAUAAUAAUAAUAAUAAUAACAAUUUCAACAAUAUCCAUCAUAACUUAAUUUCACCAAUUAAACUAUAAAAGAUAUCUUACUGAAUAAUGGUUAUAAACACCUAUUCAUGCCAACUAUAAUCAUGCAUUAAUCCUCCAAAUCAUUUAUAUGCAUAUAAUAUAUAUACACACAAUAUAUACACACAAUUAUAUCAUUUAUAUAAUAAAAAAAUAAUACUGGUUUGUCUUACAUAUUUCAUGUAAACUAAAAUUUAUAUUAAUGACUAAAGACAUUAACAUAAAACUCAUUUAUACGCACAAAUACUUAAAAAAAACCAUAACCACCAAAUAUAAAAGAAUCCCAAAUUGUAUAAAAGCCUUCAUAUGCACAACCACUUUUGAAAAUUCAUAGCCACCAUAUUAAAAAAAAUCUCAAACAUUUUAAUUUUAGUCGAGUUCUAUAAGGACUAAAACUUAUAUAAAAUAAUUAUAGCAGGAACCAAAAGUAAUCAUUUGUAUAUAUGAAUUGAAUUCAAAGGUGAAUAUAAUUCAUCAUGAAUUAAGACAAAAGAUGAUAUUUUCAUAUACAUUCAACCACAAAUAAAAAAUUUAAAACAAAUAGUGUGAAAAAAAAACAUCUUAACAACUUUCAUUUAUUCAUUAUUAAGCAUAAUCAUGAGCAAAAGCAUAAUAUACAAAUAGCAAACUAGAUUUUAACCUCAGGCAGCUUGUAUUUUGCGUUGUUUUAUAUGCGCAUACAUGCUAAAACAAGCAAAAUAAUUGACAUACACUACAGCAAAAUUGACUUUUAGCGGCGUUUUUUUAGGCUUUUAGCGGCGCUUUUAAGCGCCACUAAAACUACUCGCGGCGUUUUUACAAGCGCCGCAAAAAACGCCUUUAUAGAUGGCACCACUAAAUUUUGCGGCAUUUAUUUGAAAAAAACGCCGCUAAAGGUCAGGACCUUUAGCGGCGCUUUUCCCACAAACGCCGCUAAAGGUCAUAAAAAUUAAAAAAAUAUAUAUUAUAAAAUAUUGUAAAAGUCCUGAAAAAUAUAAAAAAAUUAAAAUUCAUUAUCAAAAUAUUGAGAAGAAGAAUAAUCUAUGAUAUAAAUACAUCCCGCCAAACAAAAUACCGCACUUAUACACCAGAAAUCUAACAAAAUACAAAUAGAACAAAAUAAGGAUGAAUGAAAGACAUUAAUGAUAUAUAAAAUCAUUGUUUCUAAUGCAUAUGUAGAAAUCAAGCCAUGGUGUGCACCAAGGAUCCGGCUCUCGUAAUAGCACCAGGCCUUGAUCAAAAUAUUACUGCGUUUGAAAAUAUGAUCUUUUCCAAUUAGCUGGUCAACCUGAAAAACAAACAGUUCAAAAGAAGUCAUGUGUCAAUUAAACUUGCCACCCUUGAUAUUGCUAUAGGAAUUAAUGCAUGGAGAGUGAUGGAGAUGGGAUUGGGGAUUCCUCAAGGCUGCAGCAGUAAACUUAAGCAACAGUGUGGGAAAAGGUGAAAUGAGAGAUUUUAGACUAAAUCCAAAGCAUUAAUUUCUAUUAAAUGAAAACAAACAAACAAAUAUAAUUGUUAAAGAAACAUUAAUUUCUCUUAAAUCCGGUAAAAUCUUAAAGGAUUUAGAAAUGAAUGAAAUAUAAGGGGGAAAAGAAAGAGGAAAAGCUAAAAUUCACUCUGUCGGUUAGUAGUGAUAUGGAAGACAAAAAGGAUAAAACACCACAUACCAAACGAAGAUCAUAAAACUACUAAGAAUUUAAUGCCAGAAAAUGAAACAAUGUACCAUUUAGAAUUAUACUUUUGAAUCAUCUUUUGCAUCAAGUGAUUUAUAUGAAUUAUGAUUACCACAUCCACAAUGUUUGGAAUGGAAACGGAUUCUAAACAUAUAAAUGCUGGAUAGGAUUAGAUGAUACCUUCUCCAGAAAGCAAAGUGCAGAUAGACCAGCCGUUUGAUUGAAAGAGAUGUCCACCGGUAUGUCAUUCACAGUGCAUUUCACUAUUUUAACCUGAAAUCAAAUUCCAAAAUAACCGAAAUGAGCUCAAGAUGAUUUUAAGCUAUAUUUGCUGCUUACGUACAUAUACUAAUAUGCAAUAAAUACCAUUUAACUGCACGGGAACAACGACAAAGAUGCAGCUGAAAAUUUAAUAUCAGCAUAAUAGCACAAAUAGAAGUUGUUGCCAAGUGUCCAACAGCAUAUGACUUAUGUGGUUUUAUUCAAUAUCAGUUAAGCACCUAGUCGUUUGCUACCCUAAUUUCCGUUAUCUACAUUACAGGAACGUCUUUUAAAUUUUUACACGUGACAGAAAGUUAUAAAGGGUGCUACCUUAAUCGAUUAGCAUUGGGAUGCAGUUUCGAUGCUAUGUCCAAUAAAAGCGAAGUUAAGGAAAGAAAUAAAUCAGAUGAAAAACACAAUCCUUUAAUUAAAUAAUAUUUAAAUAAUUAUUAUAUUUAUAAUAAUAUUUAAAUAAAUUAAUCCAAAUUAUAUAAUUUAAAAAAUUGUGUAUAAAAAGUUGAAAACCAUAUAAAAUGAAAUGUUAAUUUUGUUCCAUGAAAAAAUAAAAAUAAAAAUAAUACACGUAAUGCAUAUAUUCAAAAAUGAAAUACAUGAGAAAAACUUCAAAACAAAAAUUAAUGACAAAAAAAAUCAUAAUAUUUAGUCAUGUAUAAUACACAGAAGUUUAUUACUGAAAAAUGAAAAAGCAUAAUACACAGAAGUUCUCACUUCAUAUAUCAUCAAACUAUAGAUGGUUAAGAAUGUCAGUGUCAAAUCAAGAAGGAAAAACUAAUAUAUUAAGAACUAAAACUCUACAAAAUUAAGCUUAGUUAAAAGUAGACAUGGUUGAUAGCAGAAGAUGAUGUAACAUAAGUCACAAACUAUACACUGUUUCUUAACUUUGUCAUAAAUAUUAGCACAAAAGAAAAAAGGGAAAUGCAGUUAAACAACUUGCUAUUUACAUUCAAAUUUAAAGACCCAUACGAUAGAGUCUAAAAUAGCAAGCAUACCCAACUCUCCUUUCCUGAAAGGUUCUAAACAAUUCAUUUUCUUCUACUUCGAACCCCACACCUUUGUCCAAAACAGGGACUGGAAUAACAUUUAGCCCAUACACAAGAAUUGAUCUAAAUUCAUGCUAAUAACAUCAUCAAGAGAUCAAGGGUGCCAAUUUCAAAGUGAAUAAAAGUUCCAACAUACCACUGCCAGUUGUUCUGCCAUGAAAUGGUUCACUUCCUCAAAGCUAAAGUUUCUUGUCUCAUACUCUCUUCCUGCCAAUAUUAUCAAGACUGAUCAAACGAACAAAUCCAACAUUUAAAUUUAUUUCAUUGGUAUUAUCAGAAGAAAGGCAUUGUGUACCAAUGAGUUUGAUAACAACAUUAGCCUUUGCUAUCACAGCCUUGAUUGAAUUUUCAUCCCUUGGAUCGUAUUUCAUUGGCACUAUCUAAUAAAGAGAAAUAUCAAAUUAAAACCAAAUAAAACACAAUAAGCACUUCAAUAUGAAUUCAAAGAAAGAAGGGGAAAAACGCAAUUCCAUAAGGUAUGCAACCUGUCCUAAAUCUCCCAUCAACUUGAGAUGACGAGGGUUAUCCUCGGAACCUCUGAAGGGAACUAACACCUGAGAUCCCAUUUUAGCUAAAAUAAAAAGAAAAAAAAUCAGUAUACACAAAUAAACCUUAAAACAACAACAACAAUAGCAGCAAGCUCUCUGUAAUGUACACAUUAAGGCAAAACAAUGUACAAUUAUAACUACAAGAUUAAGUUUAAAUUACCCAGUUAUUGUACAAGAUAACAACCAAGGAAUCCAGUAGCGUCGAAAACAGUAGCUAUAAUGCCACUGCAGGGGAAGGGAAAAUCAUUUGACAUUCAAAGAGAAAACUUUUAAAGAUAAAAGUUCAAAUCCCAAAAAAAGGACCUGACGGAAGAUCGGCCAUCGGUGCCCUUGCGAACGAGGUGCCCAUGCCCUUGUGGGAAGCCAGUGUAGAUCCGUAUCGCUGAUGAUCACCUCCAUAGUCUGAAAAGGAAAAUCGAUAGUAAAUGAUUUAUAACACUUCGAUAAAAGGUAAAAGAAAAAAAACCCAUCAAUUUGUUGCAAAUGUUAAACACCAUUAGAAAGAAGAAGAAAAGAUAAAUUGGAGAAAAUAAAAAGAGGGAAUGGAAAUGUUACAGUGAUCGGAGAGAGGGUAAAUAGACUUGAUAGAAGAGAUUGAAGCAGUUGGCCUCAGAGAUUGGAAUAGUUAAAACAAUUGAAGACUCAGGGAUGGAAUUAGGACUCGGCGGAAACGAUGGCAGUGGCAGUGGCAGUGGCGUUUACCGUCUGGACGCUUGCACUUAUGCUUCUCGAAAUCAAAGACUGAAUAAGGAUUAAGAAAAGUUCUGCAGAGAAAAAUCUAGGGUUCCAAAUUUGGGCGUUUAAGAAUCGAGGUUGAGGUAGAAAAAAUGGCAAUGGGCAUGGAGUUAAAAGUUCUGAAUGAGCAAAAGAGUAGUUAAAUUUUAUUUGGGGGAUUUAGGAUGAGAAGAAGAGGGAGUAACGAGCGGGUAAGCAAAAGUCCUUUUUUGAGUGAGCGGGAUUUUGAUUUUUUUGGGUAAAAAAAUGGCUUUUUGUGGUGUUCUUAAAAAAAAAGCCACUACGCCACUAUAGCUUAUUUUUUAUGCCAUUAUUGCUUAAUUUUAAUUUUUUUUCAUAUUUAACAUAUUUUUUCUAUUUUUUUUCAAAAUUUUUGUGUUGAGAUUAUCAUUUUUUGGAAUUUUUUUAAUUUUGAAUAUUGAAUUUUUUAACUGAAAUAUGGAAUAAAAUAUUAAAUUUUAAAAUUUUAAGUUCCUUAUUUUUUAAUUUUUAAUUUUUUAUUUUAAAUUUUAAAUUUUAAAUUUUUUUGAAUAUUUUUAUAAUUUUUAAACUAUCAUAUAAAAUACAAAAGAAAACUUUAACAGAAAUAAAAUGAAAUCGAUGAAUUAAAAAAAUAUAAAAUGACACAGCAAUACAAACAUUAUUCUUUUAAGUAUGGUCCACAUUAGUUGUUUAGAUUUUUAUAUAAAUGACAUUUAAUUUUGAUAGAGAUACAUCUCAGAAUUAUAUAUGAAUUUCGAUUUAAUGUGUAAUUGUAGACGUGAAAUUCUAAUUGUGGUUUAAAUGUAUAGUCGAAACUUUAAUUUUGAUUUAAUCAUACACAUUUUAAAAAAUAAAUACAUCAAAAUAUUUUUAUAUUGAAUAUAUAUAAAAAUUUAUGUAUGCAAUAUAUAAAUAUAAAAUGAUAUUAUAUUAAUAAUUGUGUUAAUAAUUCACAAGAACUGGAUCAAAUUAAAGUUCAUGUAUACAACUGCACACUAAAUCCUAAACCCUAAACCCUAAAUCAUAAACUUUAAAAUAGUAACUCAUAAACAUUAAACCCUUAACCAUAUACCCUAAACUAUAAUGAUAAUUAAUUUAAUAUUUUAAAAUUAAUAUUAUCUCUUUUACAAUUAUAUAAGAAAAUAUUUAUCAUAUAAAUUAAAAAACACUAAUUAAUCUAAUCUCUAAUCUCUAAACCCUAAACCCUAAAACAUAAACAAUUAACCUUGAACCCCUAACCCUUAACCCCCGACCCCUAAGCCUUAAACCCCUAAAGCUCAAACCCCAACCCUUAAACCAUAAACCAUAAACCAUAAUCCCUAAACCCAUAAUCCAUAAACUUUAAAAUAGUAACUCAUAAACCUUAAACCCUUAACCAUAUACCCUAAAUCAUAAACCCUAAACUAUAAUGAUAAUUAAUUCAAUAUUUUAAAAUUAAUACUAUCUCUUUUACAAUUAUAUAAGAAAAUAUUAACAUAUAAAUUAAAAAACAAUCAGUCAUAUACCAAAAAUCUUUAAAAUUAUUUUAAAUAAUAGUAUUUUAAUUUUUUUCAUUUUUAACAAAUACUUUUACUUUCAAAUUUUUUUUACGUGUCAUUAUUUUUUUCUGAAAAAUUUAAAUAUUCAAUUAAAAAUAAAUUGUAUUAAAAUGAACCACUUAAAUUAAAUAGAUAGAUGAAAUGUUUUUUGCGGCGUUUUUCAAAAAGCGCCGCUAAUACUCGAUAUAUAAAACAACGGUGUUUUGCAAAACUUUUUGCGGCGCAGUUGGCAUAAUUUUUUGCGGCGUUUUUUUAAAAAGCGUUGCUAAAGGUUACCUAUAGCAGCGUUUUUUAAAAAGCGCUGCUAAUGCUUAUCUUUAGAGGCGUUUUUCAAAAGCGCCGCUAAAGCCGCGGCAGUUUAGCAUAAUUUUUUGCGGCGUUUUUUUAAAAAGUGCCGCUAAAGGUGACCUAUAGCGGCGUUUUUUAAAAUGCGCCGUUAAUGCUUGAUCUUUAGCGGCAUUUUUCAAAAAGCGCUGCUAAAAACCUAUUUUGGUGAAGUGAUAAUGCCAUAAAAAUUAAUCUAAAAUGAAUUAUUAGAUUUGCAGAAUUAAUCUAAAAAUUAUGAAUCUAGAUUUACAUAUAAUAAAUCAAGAUUAUCAAGAAUGUUAUAUUAUGCAAUUGCAAUUAAAACAUUCUAAACAAGAAAAUCUUAAAAGAUCAAAACCAUAUUUAAUCCAAGAUUCAUUGUUGAAUGGAAAUCAAAUAAAAAAUAACCCUAAGAAGAUUGAAUCAUAACUAUCCAAAACCUAAAAAAUAUUUACAAGAAUUUCAAAGAUUCAACAUAGAAAUAUCAAAUCUAUAAGAUCUAAAAAACGAAUCAAUCCAAAAUAAUAGAGAAUUAAUUCAUUCCAAAAAGAAUAGAAACUUAAUCAAUUUCCAAUGAUUCAACAUGACGAGGCUCGGAUGCCACUUGUUGGAUUUGUAAAAUAAAUCUGAAAUAAAACUUAAUAAACCAGGAUCUAUCAUGUCAAAUCAUCAAGAAUAAAUCAAGAAAAAAACUAGAUGCGGAAGCGUACCUGAAUCCAUAAAUUCCUUGAAGUUUUACUGGAUCUUGGGGAUUUGAUCUUCCAAAUUAGAACAUAAGAAAUUCAGAGAAUAGCUGCUCUCUUUUUCCUAAUGAUGGGAUAUUAGAAAAGAUAUCUUGUGUAUAAUUUGGGGACCAUAACCCUAAUAUUUAUAACCUUAGCAUAUUAGUUCUAAUCAAAUUCUAAUUAGCCCAUCAUUAAUCAUAAUUUGAUUAGAAUUCAAGUACUAGAGUAUCUACACAUAUUUGACCCAUCCUUUAUUUAAUAAUUGAAACCCAAUAAAAUUUUAACCAAAUUAGAUCACUCUUAAUUUGGGCUAACAUAUCAUGAUAAUAAAUAAUAACAUGUAAUUACCCUUAUUAUAUAUGUGAUGUCCAUAUUUUCCAACAAAAUAUUUUUGUAAUUUUUCGAACCGAGUUGAUGUCUGGUUAACUCGUAGCACCAACUCAACCAAGGGUUUAAAUAAUAGUAUAGGUCAUUACAUUUUAAUUAAUUUUUAGAAUAAGUAUGUUUUGGAAUUAUUUCUAAAAAUAUGUUUUUUUGAUGCACCUCAAUAGUCAAAACUAAUAACUAAUUUCCCUAAACUUUAGACCCCUAAUUUCAACAAAGUGUAUAAUUGUUGAAAUGUCCAUUUGUUGGUCUAAGCGGCAAAUGCAAAGCACCAAGAUCAUUUUUUAUGCACUAAAUCAUCCACAGUGUUAUUAUAUUGGUUUACCUCAAAUAAAACAUUUUUUACUGAUCCCCAUUGUUUCUACUACAAUAGAAAAUCUUACACAUGGCCCUUAACCUAACAUUAGACAACUCGAUGGUUUUCGUUAAUCAUCGUGCUUAAACAAACUCAUAAAAAGUUUACAUGUAUAAUUGAGAAACCUUAACCCAUCUUCUUAAACUAUAAAUCCCCAGAGUCGUGGGUUGAGUAAGCUAGAAACCAUGGGGGAUUUUUUUUGAACUUGGCAUCUUUUUCAAAUAACAGAAAAACCCUAACUUAUUUUCCUAAACCUUAACCCCAAAAGUUUAAUCCCCUAACAAAACCUUAGACACUAAAUAAAACAUUUAAUAAAAUCCCAUCAAAUUCUUUCUUCUAAGGGUUUUUAUGCAUCUCUAACUUCAAUAAAAAGUAACCUCAACUCUCAUAUUCAAAUGCCUUUUGUGAUAAUGGAUUUCCUCAAGUGUUGGAGUGCCAAUUGAGUAUGAAAGCUUCUUUUAAACUAACUUUAAAUAGGCUAUAGGGUUUAUGAUAAACCUUGUUUAUGAUUAGUAUGAAAGAUUUCACUAUAUCAAAACAAUGUUUCAACACUUGUGGGAAACCAUGAUCUAAAUCAAGAGAGUUCAAGUUUUCCUUGAUUGAAGUUAGAUUUUGGUCGAAAUCAUUUAUCUAAAAGUGAUAGUAGCCAGAAUAAGUUGGAGGAAAAUAAUUUUAAAAGACUUUAUCAAAAUUUUAAUUUAAGGUUUAAGGUUUGAGGGAAAAUGGUAAAUAUUUAAGGGUUAAAAGAUUUUGGUUUGGGGCUAGAAGGAAAAGGUUAAGGUUCAACUCCUGUUCAUUAGGUAAACUGACUACAAUCUUGACACCCAUGGGUUGUUCAGCUUUAGUCAUAAUAAAAUGCAAACAAAUACAUAACAAACAAUUGUUCAUCUUUCAAAAUCAAAGCUAACCACUAUUUGAAGAUGUUGGGUCUAGUACCCUAAAUCUAGUAUAUUCAUUUUGUAUAGUUGUAUUUUUUGAGAAAAUUGGUUUAAUAAAAAUAUCAAUUGAUUACAUUAAUAGCCUUUGUCUAUUAUCCUCAAUGAUUUUGUAUGCAAAGUAAAAUGGAAAUAAAAAUUGGCUCACUAGUUAUCUAACAUUUAACUAAUACUAAAUCGUAUUACGUGGUAAGAUAGUAAUACAGAAAGACAACUUGUAUUAGUAGAAAAACCUAAAUAAGUCCUUAGUCUAAUUGUAAAUGAGCAAACCGGUUUAAAGACUUAAGUCGUCUAGUAAGUCCAAUUAGGGAGAUGCUUUGUCUUGAGCAUCAGAAUGAAGGACUCCUAGAAGAUAGAGACAUAGAUGUCACUGAAUAGACUGACAAUAUAUUGGACAGGACCUAAGUAGGAUAGAUCCUAGAUUAAUUUAUGAAUUUAUUCACUUGAGACAUUCAUAGUGUGGCAUACCUUAAUCUUGAUUAGAUGAUGGACUAUGCAUGUGUGAAUCGUAUACUUUGAUGGAAGUAAAAGCUUGAAUUCAAAUAAAUAAGGAACCGAAAAUUGGUAUAUUGCGUAUACGGCUUCUACAACAUAUAGCAUCAUUCACAAUAGUGGAAUUCAUAGCCCAAAUAAUAGGUAAAUGAUAUCCUCUCAUUGGUAUUACAUGAUAUAUGAAAAGGAAACGUGGCCACGAGUCAUUUGUCUUUGUGAUAAAUGACUUGAUUACUAUUUAAUAGUACUAGGGUGUAAUACCCCUAACCCCUAUCUGUCGCUGAAACAGGGUCACAGAGUAUUACCAGAGUUUACAGAUCAAUUACAAAAAAUUUCAUAUCAUUUACUAUUAAUAUCUGAAAUUUAUCAUAUCAUCUCUUAAAUGGGUCCUCGAGGCCCAAAAUACACGUUAGAAUCAAAUCAAGACUAAAUUGGAAACUCAAAAAAAUUUUCGUGAAAUUUUAAAAUUUAUCUUACGUACAAGGGACACAGCCUGUGUGGUCAGGCCAUGUGGCUCACAUGGCCAGGUGACACGCCUAUUUCUUAGGCCGUGUGGGUAUUCAAUGUGAAACACACGACUGUGUCCCAGCCCGUGUUCAAAUUAGGGUAGCUACUGAUGAUGAUGAUUUACUUAACUAACUAAAUUACGACAAAGGCAAGCGCACCUAUCGAGUAGUAGUACAGCUAUGGUGAGUCGGGGAUAUCAUAUCCACAAGGACUAAAAUUACUAGUAAUUACCUUUUUUCUAUUAUUUAGCCUAUAAAUUGAAGAAGUUUGUUUUAAAUCUAAAAUUAUCUAAACUAAUUAUUAAGAACUCGACAGAGAAUAAAGUAUGAAAAUAAUCCAAUUGACCAAUGAGAGAGACAAUACCCAGGAAAGAAUCCACUUAGACUUCACUUAUUAUUCUGAAUCUGAAUUAAACGAUUUAUUCACUUGCCUUGAUCCGUAAAAAUCCCUAAAUUAUAUUAAUAUUUAUUUCGAGAGUAAAAAUAACUGCCUUUAGGUUGAUUAAUUGAAAUCUCUUUCUAAUUAAAACCUCUAUUGUCGCAUUAACUCGAUCUAUGGAUUCCCCUAUUAGAUUUGACUCUAAUCCGGUAGAUUUAUGUCAUCCUAUUUCUAGGAUUGCAUGCAACUCCACUCAAUUAUGUCAGAUCUACUCUUAAACAGGGACUUUUGCUCCACUGAAUUAAGCACAUCAAUCAUGAAUUAAUAUCCUGAAAACAUUAAAACAUGGAAUAAGUACACAUAAUUGAGAUCAAGAAAUCAAUUAUUUAUCAUGUAAUUCAAAAAAUUAAAUAACAAGAUCCGUCAUAGGUUUCAUCUUCCCUAGGUAUUUAGGGAAUUUAGUUCAUACUUUGGGAGGAAAACAUUUCAAAUUUAGAAAAACUACAAAACAUAAAGAAACCCAAAAACUUCUUGAGAAGUUGACUGGGGAUCUUCAAUCUUGAAGGAGAUCUUGCUUCUGAGUUGAUUCCAAGGGUGUUCUUCGAGUAAUUUCUUCGUUCUUCUCUGUGUUCCCCCUUUAGGUCCUCUUUUAGUGUGUAAAUAGACUUUAAAAUGCUCAAAAUCCUUAAAAAUUGGCUUUUUCUUCGUGUUUGGGAAACAAGGAGUGAUAUUGACACAGGCUGGAACAUGGGCAUGUGGUCAGCCCGUGUGAUGUGCUUAGUCUGUGUGGGAAUGACCAGGCCGUGUAGAUCCUGAAAGUAGCUCGUUUUGUCUGAUUUUGUCCUAUUUUCUGCUCCUUUUGCCCCCCUAUGCUCUUCUAAGUAUAAAAACAUGAAAUUAAAGGAUUAAGAGCAUCAAAUUCACUAAAUUAUAUAAUAAAUCAUCCAAAAACAUGCCAAGCAUGGGAUUAGAACAUGUUACUUUUAUGGUUUAUCAACUAACUUGGAUCACACGGCCAGCCACACGCCUGUGUUCUAGGCCGUGUGGACAAUUUAAUUUUCAAAAAUAGGUGCAAGAUUCACACGGCCAAGACACAUGCCCAUGUGUUGGCCUUGUGUUUUACACGGUUGAGACACACGCUCGUGUCUCUGUCCGUGUGAUCAAUUCUGAGCAUUUUGUUUCUAAAAUUGUAAGAUGUAGGGGACACACUAUCAAACCACAUGCACAUACAUAUUGUAACGCCCCAAUUUUCUGGAAUUCUGUGAAUGUUGGCAUAGGUUUAAUUAUGUUUUUGGGCCUCUAGAAGGCCCAAGCUUAGGAUAGAACCCGGUAAUUUUAGUUAAUUUUUGUUCCAUAAGAAAAAGGGAGUGAAAUUAUGAAAUAGGACCUAUGUGAAAAUGUUUGAAAAUGCUAUAGGCUAAUUUGUAGUGGCCAAAUAAAUACGAGUGCAAAAUAGGAGGAUUUGCAUGUCAAACCUCCCAUUUUACAUGUAGUGGCUGGUCAUCAUGUUGUUGUAGACAAAAUGUGCACUUGAUAUCCAUAAUUUAUGGUACAAAUUGAUACAAAUUGAUAAUGGGUUAGGUAAAUGUUUCAUGAUAAUGGGUUAGGUAAAUGUUUCAUGAUAAUGGGUUAGGUAAAUGUUCCAUGAUAAUGGGUUAGGUAAAUGUUCCAUGAUGGGAAUUUCAUGUCUUUUGUGUUAAAGAAUUAAAUGGAUGAAAUAUGAAAUUUUAUUAAAAGAAAAAGGGGUGAAAAGAACAAAGUUUUGGUCCAUCUUUGUUCAUCAUAGCCGAAAGUUAGAGAAGAGAAAGGAGAGGAGAAAGUUCUUGAAUGUUCGGUCACUUGGGGAAGAAAAUUGAAGGUAAGUUCAUGGUAGUUUGCUUCUAUUUUGAGGUUCAUGAGUUCUUCUUGAUUCUACCUUAACUCUUGAAGCAUAUUUUGGUUUUUAGUUGUGUUGUGAGCAUUUAGUCAUGAAUUAAAAUGAAGGAAAUGGUUGUUGUUUCAUGUUCUUUUGAUGAAAAAUGAAAGAUAGGUGAAGUUGAGCCAAACAAAUGAGCAUGCAUGUGCCUUAGAUGCUAAAGGGAAAAAUCGGCUAACAUGUUGUGCUUUAAAAUGAUGAAAUGGAGAUUAUACUUAAGUAAAAUCAUAGAUAUGUGAUGAUUGAUUGGUGAUAUACAUGUUUAAAGAACAUGCAUGCAAGGUAUGUGUGAAAGAGUGAUUUGGUAAUAAAUCUGCUUGGGACAGCAACAGUAACGUGACUUUGGAAAAUCACCAUAAAUUGUGGGAGAUGAAUUAGAAGCUGAAUAAAUUAUGUAAUUAAAGCUUAUUGAGUCUAGUUUCUAAUGAAAUAAACAAGAACAUAUUUUGAAUUAUGUACAAUGAGAAAUUUGAUUCGUAAUGAAGAGUGGUCAGAUUAGUUAAACAGUGAAACAUGGGAAACUUUGAGAAAAAUCUGGUAUUGAUUGGCUAAACCAAAAAUUCUAAAAAUUUUAUGGAUAGAAGAUAUAUGAGUCGAUUUUCAGGGAAAAUUAACGGCACUUGAUUUGGAUUUUCGUAGCUCCAGUUAUAAAUGAUUUAGUGACUGUUGCUCAGGGAGGCAGCUUGCAGUGAAAUUAUGAUUAUGUGGUAAACACUGACAAAAAUUUGUUAAUGAGUUGCUUAUUGAUUUCUUAUAAGCUUACUCUGAUCUGUAGGUGUGGUUGGCCGAAUAUUGUAAGGGGUUAAUAUGUAGUUCGUAUUUGAAUAGUUAGAUUAACGUGUUAGUAAUCCAAUUGUAGGCGGUUCGUGUGUGGAUCUCGUCAGCAUAUCGUCGCAAACAGGUGUGUAACUAACACCCUCUUAUAGACUAGAUCGGCACAAGCCGAAAAGCCGAAAUGCCGAAAAGCCAGUAUUUUGAGAUCUUGCGAGUGUGUGAAUGCUCAUGAGAUUAAUAGUUUGAUGUAUAUGGUAAAUUAAAGUGAUAAGACUGCAGAGUGCGCGAUUCUGUGCAUUUCGAUAUUUUUGGGCUUAAUGGGCCAAAAACGGGAUAAUGGGCCAACGAGCCCAAAUUGGUAAGAAAAUGCGGUAAAUGUUUCUGAUUGUAUGUAAAUGGCUAUGUUAUGUAUGAAAACCUCAAGAAUAGUUAAAUUACUUGAAUACCCCUAUGUAUGCAAAAUUACCAUUAUACCCCUAGGGUUACUUUUGACUGAAAAGCAUGACGAUCUGAUUUUGUAUGAUGUAUGCCAUGAUUAUAUAUCUGUUGCAUGGGGACUUGGGUUAUACUAUGGAGGAAGUGUCCUGGUGGCUAUGCCACAAUUAUCUGAUCUGGUGGCUCUGCCGCAUAUAUCUGUCCUGGUGGUUAUGCCACAAUUAUCUGAUCUGGUGGCUCUGCCACAUAUAUCUGUUCUGGUGGCUCUGCCACAAUAUCUGUAUCUGGUGACUUCGUCACAAUAUCUGGCAGCCUCGCUGCGAUUUCUGUGGUGUGUAGCGGUUGGGUGGGUCGAGUAGUCUCCCCACAUGGUGUAAGGCUGGUACCGGGGUGUUAUGGAUGAAUCUGGGUUGGGUUUCUGCAUAAACAUGUAAUAUCUGUUCUGUUCUGUUAUGGGCCUAUGGGCUUUAUUUUGAAUUCUGUUCUGGGCUAAGGCCAACUUAUUCUGUUUCUGUGGUUUGAGCUGAUAUAGGCUAUGGUUGGGUUAAUUUACACACUGAGUUUCCCCAAACUCAUCCCUUUUAUUUUCAUCCACGCAGGUAAUCCCCAACCAUAGUGGGCUUGGAGCUGUGAGGGAAUUCGGAGUGGCCACCCAUUCUGAAAGUUUGAUUUUUUUCUGGUGAACUGGAUAUCCUUUUAUUUUCGUUUGAGGUUUUGGGUUUUUAAAUGUAAUAAGGCCGCUUAAUUAUUUUUGAUGGUUUUAAUAUGUGUUACUAAGAUAAGUAUUACUUAUUUUAAUUGUUGAAAUUGGAAAGCUUUAGGGCGCGUUUUCAAAUACAACAAUUGAUUUCAAAAUACCAUGACAACAAGCAAAGCUUCCACAAUGAAAGUAUUUUCCAAAAUUAAUCACUUUUCCUAAAAAAGACUUAAUCAAAUCAGUUACCUAGAAAUAGACAUGACGUUAAGUUGUGGCAAUGGUGGCAUGCAUGUCUAGGAUUGGAUCCGAAGGGAGCUUGGUACUUAAACAGUCUGAUGGACUCACCUCCUCUUUUCCGGUUUCCUACCUGGUGCACAGCUUCCAUUCACUUUAACCUAUAAUGAAAUUAUCUUUUAAAACACUAAGUAAGUUUUUCUGGAUCAACAAUAUAAAAUGUUUUGAACGCUUCGAUGUGGCAUGUCGGAUCCAGCCAUAACGUCUGGUUGGGUUUUGGGGUGUUACACAUAUGGCCGCGAGUCACACACGGUUGAGAUACACGCCCAUGUGCCUACCCAUGUGGACAAAAUAAGGCCAUUUCCAAGCCUUAUUUCUCACCUAAAUUUUGCCUUGUACGUACAUUAAUACUUGCAUACAUAUACCAACCAAUUCAAGAUGUUAAAACCAAGCCAACAUUAACAUUAUAUUUGAUAAAUCAUCACAUGUAUUCAAACUUAAAUUUUGAAAGACAUAUAUGUUUACCAUAAUUCAAUCAAAUCAUACCAAGCACACAUAUUUUAACCAUAUUAUAACCUCAAGUAUAUAUUCACUAAAUAUAUCAUUAUUAGCCAUUCCAAUGGCUAGAUUACAAACAACCAUUUACAUGAAAACAUUUAUCAAGUUAGCCUAUACAUGCCAUUGUACCAAAAUAAGUUUGCUAUUUAUACCAAACGUGCUGAAGGAUAGUGUGAUGAUGUUUCGAUCGAUUCCAACCUUUACGAGCUUUCGAGUACUAUAAAAUAGAGAAAAGAAAAAAAUGUAAGCAUUUAAUGCUUAGUAAGUUCGCAUAACAAGAAUUUAACUCACCAUACAUUUACAUUUAAGGUAAGCAUAUAAGAUGCUUCCAAGCAAUUUGGCUAAUUGUAAUAGCCCGAUUUUGGGCCUCGAAACAGUGGUUCCGAAACCACUAUUUCAGGGUCGAAGAAAUUAUUUUAAAUAUUAUUUUAUGUGUUAUAGCAUGAUUAUAUGAGUGCAUAAACAUUUUGGUGAAUUAAUUUUAGCGAUUGUGAGCUUAAUUUUGAAAAAUGACUAAAUCGCAUAAAGGGAAAAAUUUGUGAUUUUCUAGCUAAAUAUGUUAAAUUGCUAGAGAACCAUAAUUGGGGGUUUUUAAAGUGCAAAUAGACCCCUUUCACAAGCUUGGCCGACCAUAGAGACAAAUAGGAGUUGAGAAGUCAAAGUUAGGUGCCUUUUUUUGGUAAGAAAUAAAACAAAAAGAAAAAGUUGUCAUCCUUUCAUCUUUUUUUUCUUCUUCCACCAAAAAUGGCAGCAAGGAGGGGCUUGAAAAACUCAAAAUAUCAGCCACUUAUAUUCUUUUCAAGUAAGUGAUUUAGAUGCCUAUUUUUGAUAAUUUUUGUACUUUUGGAACCCUUGUAGCAUGAACUAGCUAAUGGGGGGACUAUUUUGUAAAAUGGUUGAUAGUCUAGGGAUUUACCAUGAAAGGAUUUAUGUUGUUUUCUGAAUUUUUAUGGAAGAAAAUGAGUCUUGGGUGUCUUAUAAACAACUUUUGUGAAAGGUGUUAGCAUGAAAACACCUAAAAAGACUAUAUUGCAUAAGUUGUAAAAUAGAUGUUAUGUAUGUGAAAUAGUGGGAAAUUGGAGUUGCUAUAAGAGUAAAAAGGGUUCGGAUAAGCUUAAGAUGUGAAGAAAUUCGAUAAAAAUCAAUUUUCGGACCUAGGGGUAAAAUGGUCAUUUUACAAAAGUCUAGGGGCAAAAUGGUCAUUUUGCCCAAAUAUAGGUUAUUGAAUACCUAGAUUGAUAAAGUGAUUAAAUUUGUGAACUUGUGUUAUUUUAGAUCAAGAAAAUCGAGAUUUGGGCUUAAAUCAAGAAAGUGUGUGGUUAAAGACAAAAAGAAAAUAAUUAGCCGAAAUUACAUUUGAGGUAAGCCCGUGUGAUUAAAUGACCGUGAUAUUUAUGCCAUUGUUAUUAUACUUGAAAAUCUAUCUUGUCAUGAUUGUAUUAAAGUGUAGGUUGAUGAUAUUGUAUAUGAAAAAGUGAUGUCAAAUGUAAAUAACAUUUAUGUGUUGAUUGAAUGCUUGGAGAUUUGAUGGAAUAUGAUAUUCCAUUGAAAUGAGUAAGUUGUAUGUAAAUAAGACAACUACAUUGUUAUUAUAUGUGUUUAAAUUGAUAUAGCAUGAAUUGCUUGGUUGUGGAAAUGAUUAUGUUUGAUGAAUAUUGAGAUAGUAGAAUUCCCGUUUGAACCUUAAGACACAAUUCGGAUAUUCAUGCCAUGACAUUCGGGUUAUUUGUGAGCCAAUGUAAGACCAUGUCUGGGACAUGGAAUCGGCAUUGAGAUGAGAGCUAGUGUAAUACAUGUCUGGGACAUGCAUCGGCCUCGAGUUGUAAGCCAGUGUAAGACAUGUCUGGGACAUGUAUUGGCUACGAGAUGUGUCAGUGUAAGACCAUGUCUGGGACAUGGCAUCGGCACAGAUGUGUGAGAGCUAGGGUAAGACCAUGUUUGGGACAUGGCGUCAGCCUCGAUUUCGAUAGUCAGUGUAAUACCAUGUCUGGGACAUGACAUCGACUUAAUGGAUGAGCUAGUGUAAGACCAUGUUUGGUACAUGACAUCGGCAUUAUACCCUAUGUUUGAGGCUUAGUGAAUAUCCGAUAGCUUUCCGAAUGGUUCAACGGUGAGAGUUAUGGUUUAAGCUAAAUGAGAAAGGUUAUGACCAUAUUGUGAGUGGUACAGGUACUUACAUGAAAUUGAUGGGAUGUGAAUUCAAUUCAUGUUAUAUGAUUAGUAAGAAAUGAAAAUGAGCAUGUUGAGUAAUACAGGUAUGUAUGCCAAGCUCAUGAGAAAUGAUUUCAGUUUACAAUACACCUUUAGUGAAGAUGUAAAUAGGUAAUUCAUGCUUAUGAGAAUGAUUUUGUGAUGACCUUGUGAUUAUAGGUCUAUACUUAUGAUGUAUGAAUAUGUAACCUUACCAAUGUGGUGAAAGUGAAUUAAUAUGGUGUGAUAAACUAGUAUCGUUAAUUUACACAAAAACAGUUUUGGACAGUAGCCAUAGUCCAAAUUUGAAAAUCCACAAAAAAUUGUGGAAAUUGAUUUAGAGGCUGAAUAAAAUAUGAAAUUAAAUCCUAUUGAGUCUAAUUUCACAUAGAAGAAAUGGUGUAAGUAAAAGAGUUUCAUAUUAUGAAAUAUUUAAAUUGUUGUGAGACAGAGUCAGAAUGACUUCGAAAAUCCCCUAUUCUGAUUUGAAAAAAUCAUUGAAAAUUGUAAAAAAAUAUUUAUGACUUAUAAUUUAUAUUAUUAUAAUUCUUAAUGAGUAAUUUUCAAGAUAAAUAGACGAUAACAUCAUCUUAGUCCCGUAUUAUGAGAUAAUUAAUUUUUAGUAAAGAGGGGUUAGAACUGUCAGACAACGAAAAAGGGUAACUUUGAGGAAUAAAAUAUACUAAUUGGCUAAACCAAAAAUUCUAAAAAUUUUAUGGUAAGAAGAUAUGUGAGUCUAGUUUCAGGAAAAAUUAGCAUAACUUAAUUUGGAGUUCUGUAGCUCCAGAUAUAAAUAAUUUAGUGAAUCUGACUUGAGAAAAUAGUUUGACUGGAACAUGAGUAAAAAAUGCGAAUAGGGUUGUAUUACCAUCAAAAGAAAAUUGAUAAAUUGCUUAUUAUUUUCAUACGGUCUUGCUAAGCUAUAAAGCUUACUCCCUUCCUUUCCUUUCCUUUAGUGUUUUCAGGUUAGCUCGGAGUUGGAGAUCGUCGGAGGCAGCAUCACACUAUAAAGUCGCUACCUUUGGAAUAAUGAAGUAUAUAUUAGAAAUUUCAAGUGAGUGGCUUGUAUAGAGAUGUAGUUGAUUGACAUGUAUUAUUUUUCUUUGGCCAAAUGUAUUGGUUUAAAUUGAGUUUUAUGUAUAUGGCCAUGAGAUGUGGGUCAUAUUGAUUAUGGCUUGUAAGCCUAGCUAUUUAUGUCAUGUCUAGUUUUUAUAAUGUGAUUAUGUUUGUUUGCCAUGCAUGGUUAGUAAUAUGACAUGUGUGUUGGAUGUAUGCUCUAUGACCAAUUGAGGUGUUCAUAGCCAUGUAGUAAUUGCAUGUUAUAUACACAACGUGAUAAUGAUUGAACAUUAGUGCUUGAUGGAUAAGUUGGUAACCGUAGUAUAAUGGUAAAAGUGAUCAUCAAAAUGACAAGUCUUAUGAAAGUGAAAUAAGGAAUCUAGACUUGGCAUUGCAUGAGUAUAUGCAUUACUUGUAAGAGGACAUGUUAAUGUUAAGGAUAUAUCUUAAUAAAGAAUGUUUAAUCAUUAAAAUGAUGCCAUGAUUUGCGAUUUUGAUGUACAUAAGGUUGUAAGAGAUUAUGGGUAACAUGAAAGCUUGGAAAAUAGCCGAAGUGUUGGCCAUAUGGGCUGAGACACGGCCGUGUGUCUCAACCGUGUUAGAGACACAGCCUGGAGACACGGGCGUGUGGCCCGGCCGUGUGGUUCGAUGUACAUGCUGAUGUCAUAAACAGAGAGUUACAUGGUCUGAGGACACGGGCGUGCCAAAGGUACACAGGCAUGUCCCUAUGUCCACACGGGCGUGUGACCUUGUUUUGUGGGAAAAUUUCCUAAGUUUUUUUGAAACUUUUAAAAGUUCUCGGUUUAGUCCCGAAUCAAUUCCGAUGAAUGUUUUGGGCUUCGUAGACCCAAAUAAGGGAUGACAUGCAUGUGUUUGAAAGGUUUUGAAUUAAAAGAGAUUUUAUGGCCCGAUUUUUGCAUGAAUGUAUAUGUUUAAGUCCAGUAAUGUCUCGUACCCUGUUCUGGCGUUGGACAUGGGUAAGGUGUGUUACACUAAUAGCCUAAAACACACAACUUCAUCAAACAUGUUAGUCAUUAUUCCACAUAAAUUUCAAGAAUCAAAGAUGAGCUCAUCAUAGUAUAACUUUCAUAUACAUAUGCUUUUCAUAUCAUAUUUCCAUUUAACAUGUACAUUUCCAUACACAUAUAUCUUUCAUCCCAUAUUUCAAUUUGUCAAAUAUCAUCACUUUCAUGUAUUUCAGGUAUAAACGGGUAAUAAUUCAUUUUGAACUCAUAUUUUCUCAUGUUAGGAUUUUUCCCAUUGAAUUAUUGAAAAUAUCGAUAGAUACAUAGGUAGUACAAACAAGGUGUACAAAACUGUAAUCUAUCAAAUCAUAUUCUGGGGUACCCAUUAGGGCACAUAAUUAGGAAACACUCUCUCGAGCCAUAUAAUAGGAUGCUCAUGUGAGCCAUGUAACAUGAAGCUUAUCCGGGCUAAAUCAAGAAACUCAUAAGAGUUUAGAAUAGGAAGCUCAUUGAGCUUAACAGGUAACUCUGAAAAGCUAUUAUUAGGGAACUCUGGAUAGCCAUAUAAUAGGAUGUUCAAGCGAGCCAUAUUAGAAAGCUCAAGAAGAGCCUAGAUUAGAACGCUCAUAAAGAGCUGUGUUUGUGUCCACAAUAUAUGCAGGAUCACAACCGAUCAUAUAAUAAGAUGCUCACAAAGAUUUGUGGUAUGUCCGCAACAUAUGCAGGAUCAAUACCGAUCAGGAUGCUCACAGGAACCAUGUAACGGGAAACUCGAGAGGGCUUAUAACAGGAUGCUCUUUCAAGUUAAGGUGUAUCUACAACAUAUGCAAGACCACAACCAAUCAGGAAGACUUGUAUCCAUCAAAUUCCAUCUAUUCAAGAGGGACUUAUUAUUUAUCGGGCAUAAUCGGACAUGUGAUCAAUUUCAUAUAUAAUGCAUUCAUACAAUUCACAUAUACCACACUCAAAUCAAACAUAUAUAAUACACACAAUUUAGUUACACGAACUUACCUAGAUAAACGUUCGUAUACAAAGAUCUACUAAUCUGAUACUUUUUGUUUUCCUCGAUCCAGCUCUGUACUAGGUCUAUCCGGAUCUAUAUAAAUGAAUUUAACAUCAAUUUAAUCCAUUUCAUACUCAAUUUAAUUCAAAUCAAACCCUAGGCAAAAUUACCAUUUGUGCAAUUUAAUCCAUAUUCCAAGUCUAAUCGAUUUUUACAUAUAACAUUUACAGCACAUAUAUUUCAUAAAAAUCAGAAAUUUUCCAUGGAUUUUUUAUCUUUACAAUUUAGUUCCUAAAGCAUAAGUUCAUGAAAAUUCACUUUACAAAAGUUGUUUAUCUAUCAACAACCUUUCAUUUUCUAUUAUAAAUUUCAAAAUUUCAGCAUAUUCAUCCACGGAAAAAUUUCAAUACUUUAAUAUCUUUUCAAAUUGAUUCCCAAAAUAGAUAGAUUAGGUUAUUCCGAUCUCAAAAAUAUAAAAAUUACUAAAAACGGGACAUGAUUACUUGCCUAAUUAAGCUUGCUUGAUUUUCUUUCUCUUUCUUAGGGUUUUCAUAAAAUUUGGGGAAGAAGAUGAUAUAAAAUGAUGAUAUUUGAUAUUUAUUUUAUGUAUCAUCUUUUAUUUAUUUCAAUUUCUAAUUUAGUCCUUUUUUUUCUAAUUUUCCAUGGAUGAAUCAUCAAAAAUAUCUAUUAAAUUUUUAAUGGUCUAAUUACUAUAUAAGGACCUCAAGUUUUGAAUUCCAUAACUAUUUGAUACUUAUAGCUACUAUAACUCAACUUUUGUAUUUUAUGCAAUUUGGUCCUUUCUAUUAUUAAACAUGAAAUCGAUAAAAUUUUCUUAUCAAAUUUUUCAUAAGUCUUUCCUAUCAUGAUGCAGACCAUGCAAUAAUUUUAAAAUAAAUUUUCUUUCUGACUCGGAUUUGUGGUCCCGAAACUAUUGUUCCGAUUUCAUUGAAAACGGACUGUUACAUAGGGACUGCAAACCCUAGUGUAUUUAAAUAGGGUUGUCGCCCUGUCCCCCCAAUCCUAGUUAGACUAGGAUUAUGUUUUUCUAUUGAAAUAGACUUCUAAUAAUUCAACAAGGGUUUCAUUUCUUCUCCCUAUAAAUAGAUGGAAACGGUAAGGCUAAAUACAGAACUUUGAGAUAUUGUUAUUCUGCCCGAAAAUAGUGAGAAUUUAUUUUCUAAGUAUAAAUUCUAUAUUCUAGAAUGCAAUUCUACUAGUUUUUAUUAAAGAGAGAUUUUCUUUUCCACUAAAAGUAAAGUAAAUGAUUUCUGGUUCUGUGCUUGAUUUGAAUUUGUUCAAGCCUACAAUCAAAGUAGCUUGUGGUACAGGAAUAACAAAGAAGGUCAUUCAGUUGAAAGCCAAGAACGAUAAGGAUCCGUUUGGUCGAAAACACAGGUGUGAUUUUUGUAAAGCUUUUAUUGAUAUAAAUAUAAAAAAUCGACUUGAUUUUCAAAAAUUAAAUUUUUCGCUGUGCAAGAAAACUAUUUUCAAAUAAAUUUUUUUUCAAAUAUUCAUAUUAACCAAGAAAGAAUAACUAUACUUGUUAAAGAUGAUACCUUAAGUUUGCUUAAGGAAAUUGAUAUUCCACAAUGUGAAUCUUGCUUCGAAGGUAAGAUGACUAAGUGAUCUUUUAAUGCAAAAGGAAUGAGGGUUGUCAAUGUAACAACCCAUUUUUCAGUGAAAUCGGAACAGUGGUUUUGAGACCACAAAUCUGAUCCGAAAAUAAAUUUUAUUUUUAUUUUAUUACGAGGUCUGUAAUAUGUUAGAAAGGUCAUGUUAAAAUUUUGAUAAGAAAAUUUUAUUGAUUAUGUGCUUAAUUACGAGAAGGACUAUAUCGUAUAAAAUGCAAAAGUUGAAUUCUAGUAGCUACAAGGAUUAAAUAGCUAUGGAAUUCAAAACUUAAGAUCCUCAUAUGGUAAUUCGACCAUUAAAGAAAAGUAUGUAGAUAUUUUGGUGACUCAUCCAUGGAAAUUUAGAAAAAGGGCAAGGACUAAAUUAGAAUUUGAAAUAAUUUAAUUAAUUAAAAAGAUGAUAAAAGAUAUCAUCUUAAUUUUUAUGUCAUAUUCAACCUAAGAAACCCUAAGAGAGAGAGAGAAGAAACUUUCAUGGCUUAAUUGGGUAAGUUUCCUUGUCCCAUUUUUAGUAAUUUUGAUAUUUUUGAAACUGGGAUAGCUUAAUCUAUCUAUUUGAGGGAUCAAUUUGAAACUUUCAUGGCUUAAUUGGGUAAGUUUCCUCGUCCCGUUUUUAGUAAUUUUGAUAUUUUUGAAACUGAGAUAGCUUAAUCUAUCUAUUUGAGGGAUCAAUUUGAAGAGUUAACAAAGAAUGAAAAUUGGGCCAUCGAUAAAUAUGCUGAAAAUUCAAAAUUUAUGGUAGAAAAUGAAAGGUUGUUGAUGAAAACAUGAUUUAUGCACUAAAGUGUAAAAUUGAUGAAAAUUCUGAAAUUUAUAGAAAAUAUGUUCUUUAAAUUCUAUAUUAAAAUUUUGGUUAGGCUUGGAAUAGGGAGUAAAUUGCAUAAAGUUUAUUUUCCGAGCCUAGGGAUUUAAUUUGAAUUUAUGGAAAAGUUAGGGGCAAAAUGGUAAUUUUUCCUAGGAUAUAAAUUGAGUCCAAAUGAAUAUGAAAUGUGGGAAAUUCAUGAUUAAAGUUAUUUAUAUAGAUCUGGACAACUGAAAUUCGAGGUUAAAUCGAGGAAAAGAAAAAUGUUUCGAAAUAGUAGAUUUUAUACGUGAAGAAGUGUCGAGGUAAGUUUGUGUAACUUAAUCGAGCAUGUAAAUAUGUUAACUUGAAUGUUAUGAGUGUAUGCAGUAUGAUUUAUAAUUAUGUGAAUGUUAUAAAUGUGUGAAUGAAUAUAUGUUCGAAAAUGUUAGAAAAAGGGGUAAAGUCUCGUUUGAAUAUUGAAUUUCGGUGGAUAAAUGUGAUUGCCUUAUAAAAUGAUGUGUUGCAUUUGUUGCUUAUGAGAUUUAGCUCGGACGAGUAAUCUUAUUAAUCUCAUUAUAGAAAGGAUUUAGCUCGGACGGGUAAUCCUGAUAUAAUUCCUCUCGAGCAUAUUUAGGAUUUAGCCUAGACUAGCAAUCUUGUAAUACGAUAUGUGGCUUGAGAGUGUGUUCUUGAUUAAAUUCCCUAAUGGGUACUCUUGAAUAAGAAUUGACAGGUUAUUAAAUUGUACACCUUGAGUGUACUACUCGAGUAUCCAUCAAAAAGUUAAUGAUUCAACGGGCAAAACUCUUGGCAUGAUGAGAGAAUUAUGAGAUGAAAUGAUAAUGUCUUGAAAGAAUAUUGCAUGAUGAGCUCAUCUAUGUUUACUUGAUGUAUAUGAAAAUUUUGUGACUAACAUGUUUGGUUGAAUGCAUGUGUUUAGGCAAUUUUUCCAAGUUGAUGGAAAACAUGAUUUUGUAUGCUUAGAUUUAAUAAACGGGAUUGGUAAGUUUAGUUUCUGUUAUACGAACUUACUAAGCAUAUAAUGCUUACUCCGUUUUAUUUUCCCUUGUUUUAUAGUGCUCGGAAGCUCGCGAAGGUUGGAGGUCAUUGGAGCAUCAUCACACUAACCACUAGCUUAUUUUGGAUAUAUAUAGAAAAAAAAUCAUUUUGGUAUAAUGGCAUGUAUAGGCUAACUUGGCCAUAGAUGGCUUGAAUAUGUGGUUUGUAAUCUAGCCAUUGGAAUGACUAGUAAUGGUUGUUUUGAUAUACUUGUAAUGUCAUACUAUGGUAGCUAGAUACAUGUUAAAUGGUUGUUCAAGUUUUGCCUAUCAUAUGAAAUAUACCAAGGUAAGAUUAUAAACAUGUAUGCAUGUAAUGAUAUACCAUGUUGAAUGAUAGAGUUUGCUUAAUUUGAAUGCUUGAAUUGGUUAGCAAUUGGAUGUGAGUUUAAGUAUAGGUCAUUGGUGUGAUUUUGGGUGAGAAAUGAAGAUAGAAAUGGCUUUAUUUUGUCCACACUGGUAGACACACGGGCGUGUGUCUAUACCGUGUGUGACAGACGGCCUGGUAUAUAGGCGUUUGAUUAGGCCGUGUGUCCCCUGCACCUUUAACUCGAAAAAAAAUGCUCAAAAUUGAGCACACGGGCAGAGACACGGGCAUGUGUCUCAGUCGUGUGUGCUACACGGCCUAGAACACGAGCAUGUGUCUUGACCGUGUGAAACCUGCACCUAAUUUCGAAAGAAUUUAAUUAACCACAUGGCCUAGCACACGGGUGCGUGGCAUGGUCGUGUACACAAGUCAGAGAGUUACACGGGGUCGAACAUGACCUGUAGUACGGGCGUGUCCCUUGGACCACACGGGCGUGUGAGCCCUGCACUUUGGAAAAUUUUUUAGAUAUCGCUAAAAUUUCUUAGGGUUUCCGAUUAAGUCCCGAUUCAAUUUUAAUGCUCAUAUUGGGCCACGAGGGUCUAUUUCAGGGACGAUAUGAAUAAUCUCGGUUAGUGAAUAGUAAAUUACGUGAAUUAUCUAAAAAAAUAUUCUAAAAAUUUUGAUAAUGCUCCGUAACUUUGUUCCGGCGACGGAUACGGGUUAGGGGUGUUACAGUCAAACUCUUAGAGCUUAUGCACACUCAUAUAUGUGGCCCCAAGAACGUCAAUGUGCAAGGUGAUUACAAUUAUUACAUAACCUUUAUAAAUGACUAUUCCAGAUAUGAAUAUGUAUACCUAAAGCACCGUAAAAGUGAAACUUUUGAUAAAUCAAAAGAGUUUCGUGCAGAAGUGGAGAAACUAGUAGGUUUACCCAUAAAGAUACUUCAGUUUAAUCAAGGUGAGGAAUACUUAUCGGAUAAGUUCUUAGGUUACCUCGUAGAGAAUGGAAUAUUAUCCCAAUUAACCGCGCUAGGAAUUACACAACAAAAUGACAUGGCAGAGAAAAGGAAUCGAACCUUGUUGGACAUAGUUUAAUUGAUGUUAAGUUAUUCAUAGCUUCAAGUCUCUUUUUGGAGAUAUUUUUUACAAAUGACUUGUUACAUUUUGAAUGAUGUACCAAAUAAGUUCAUACCUAAAACUCCAUACUAAUUAUGGAAUGGCAUGAAGCCAAGUCUAAAUCAUUUAAGGAUUUGCCGAUGGCCAGCCCACGUGUUGGAUAAAGAUAUGAGGAAAUUGGAUUCACAGAUAGAGUUGUGUAUGUUUGUGAGUUAUCCAAAAGGAAUAAAGGGUGGUUUGUUUUAUAACUCAAAAUAGCAAAUACUGAUAGUGUCCACUCAUGCUACCUUCAUUGAAGAGAGUUACAUGAACGACUUUAAAUCUUAAAGUAAAGAAGUACUUGAGAAAAUUUUGGGAAGUACAUAAAUCCUUGGUCUCGGAUCAAACUCUUAAUAAUAGAUUUACAAACAAUCAUCAACAUAAGGAGCUUCGUUGUAGUGAGAGGGUUUCUCGUACGCCCGAGUUCUUCUAGUCUGGCAGAAGUGUUUUAAACAUUGAGUUUUCUGAACAGGAAGAUGAUGACCAACCUACAUUUAAAAAACGAUGCAGAGUGUUGAUUCCAAGCUUUGGGAAAUAGCUAUAAAAGCUAAGAUGAAUUCUAUGAAAUCCAGCUAAGUGAUAUACAAGAAGAAAAGAAAUGCGAAUGGAAAAGUGGAAACUUAUAAGGCUAGACUUGUAUCAAUUACGAAGAAGCCUUCUUUUUGGUUGCCAUACUCAACUCAAUCUGCAUAUUGUUAUCCAUUGUGGUGACUCUUAAUUAUGGAUCUGUCAAAUGGAUACCAAGACAAUGUUCUUGAAUGACUAUCUUGAAGAGAGCACCUAUAUGAUGCAACCCACCCUAUAUAUAACUAAAGGAAAUUAGCAUAAAAUUUACAAAUUGCUUAGAUUUCAUAUAUGGACUUAAGUGAGCAUCCCACUCAUGGAAUCAAAUAUUUGAUCAAAACUUUUGAAUUUGAGCAAAAUAUUGAUAAACCUUCUAUUUAUAAACGUAUUAAGGAUGGAAAUGUGGUCUUUCUUAUUGUAUAUGUCGAUGACAUUCUACUCAUUGGAAAUGAUUUAAGUACAUUGUCAUCGGUUAAAUUGUGAUUAACCCAACAGUUUAGCAUGAAAGACUUAAGAAAAGCUAUCUUUGUUCUAAGCAUUUGAAUCGUAAGGGAUAGAAAGAAUAAAGUGAUAGCAUUAUCACUAAGAAUAUACAUAGACAAGAUAUUGAAAAUUUAUGCAAUAACCGAUUCAAAAUUUAGUCAUUAUACUAUAGUGGAAUAACUUCACGACUAAAGAAGUUUAUAAUUAAUAGGCGAAAAGUUGGACAUUGAUUAUAAAUUAUUUGAGCCCUUAUUAUGUAUGUACAAUUGGUCCCCCCACUAGCUCGUUGAAACAAAAAAUGAAUUGCAUGUGGAAGAAAAUGAAUACAAAUGAAUAUAAAUGAUAAAGUCGGAGAAAUAGGUCACAUUAACAAAUUAAUUUGUUUUCUCACCAGGUAUAGAAAUGACUUGAGAAAAUAAUUUAAGGUUUUUGAAUGAUUAUUUAAUUAAUUAUAAUUAAAUAAUUAAAGUUAAAAAAAUGAAAUUAAAUUAAUUUUCCAUUAUGAAUCCUUUGAAUAAUGAAAUUAAAUAUAUUUCCUCAUAAAAUAUUUUACAAUAAAGUUGUUAUAAUUUUAAUGGAAUUAGAAUUGAGUUGACAUAAUUAUUUAAUUGGGUAAUUAAUUUAGUUAAUUAAAUUAAUUAAUUAAUUAAUAUUUAUUUUUGAAAAUAGAAAAUAAACAUUAGGUUUGAUUAAUUUAUAAAAUGCUAGGUUAAAAGUUUAGGAAACUCAUAUAAUUGAACCCAAUACAUGAUAGGCCAAAUUUGUCCCGUAUAACAUGUGAGCAGCAGCAACCCAAAGGGAAUUUAAGAGAGUGGUUGCCUCCUCUCUCUUAGUUAGAUUAAGGGAGUGUUUUCUAUUAAAAUAAUUGUUGAGUAUGACUCCUAUUUCAGUCAAAUUUGAGAAAUAAUAUUCCAGUUAAAUUCUGUUUAUUUGUUUCAAUCAAACACUGAUUAGUCUAGAUUAUUUUAUUAUUAUUUGACCUAUGAAUUUAGCCUAUAAAUAGACUCUUUUACAACUUUAGAAAAUACAUCCAUUAGAGAUUAGAACUCAUAACACUUUUGGAGAAUAUUUGUGUUUAUGUUUUGAAGGUUCUUUGUUUUUUGGGGUUUCGGGGUUUAGUUUUUAUCUCCAUCUUUGUACUCUUCGUUCUUUUGCCAUUAUAGUAAAAUUAUCUUUACCCGUGGUUUUUUAUCCUCUUUGGAAGGGUUUUUCCACGUUAAAUUUGUGUGUUCAAUUUUUCAAUUUCUUCCGCUAUUUUUACUUGUUUGUUGCUUAAUUAGGUCGAUCGCCAAUAGUAACAUUAUUUGUUUAAGCCUUAUUCAACCAAGAUUCUUCUAUUUCUCCCUAUAAAUAGAUAGCACCGAUUAACUUAAAAAACACAUUUAUUGGUUAUUGAUUUAUCAUUAUUCUACCAAAAAAAUAGUGAUAAUUUAUUCACUUAAAAUAAAUUAUAUUUUCUGGGAAUUACGAUUUUUAUUAGUUUCUUGAGAGAAUUAUUUUGCUACUGAAAGUAAUAAUAAUUUCUUGUUCUUUGUUUGGUUCAUGUUUCUCGAGCCCACACUCAACCUAAAUCCAUCUUGCACAAUGUACAGGUACUUUUCGGUAAAACGGUUAUUGCUAUAAAUAUCACAAAUCGGUUCAUUUUUUAAAAUUUUUAAACUUCUGCUAUAACUAUAAAUCGUUAUGAUGGAUUUUGACAAACCACAUUUUUAAGUGGGACUGUGUGCAUUAAAUCAAAUAAAAUUAUGAAAAAUUUUGAAAAACCACAUUUUUAAGUGGAAUUGGAAAAAGGAAAUUGAGCUACUAAGAUCCCCUUUUGAAAUUACUUAUAGAUUAUGAAAUUCUUUAAUAUAUUUACCCAAAUAAAUAAGUUCAUUUUUAGAAAUUUAAAAAUCUUAAUAAAAAUAAAAUCCCUCCUAUAAAUCCCUCACCCAAAACACACUUUUAAAUACCUAUGCAAGUUGAGAAGCAAAUGAUGACAAAGACUAUUCACUAACAAAUGAUCCAUUAGAAUGACUGACCGGCAUUACGCCUGUGCGUAUAAAACAAAAAAUUUAUAAAAUAAUUUUUAUAGCACGGUUUUACUACAAGCAUGUAGGUCAGUUGUAAUAUUUGUAGUGUUACAAUGGAACACCAACGUAUUCCAAGGAUCGAACCCAAAGGAGUUGGUGACUUAGUGAUCUGCCACAAAUUAUUGACCGCCGCCGGACGUACUAACGUCUAGAGUGUGAAUAUUAUAGCAAAAGAUAUAUAUAUAAAUGAUAAGGUAUCUACAAGUAUACGGGUCGGGUUGUAAUAUAGCUACAACGAAAUAGGUAAGUAUUUUGAGGAUCGUACCCAAAGGAGGCUAGUACUAGCUCAAUUUCAACCUAAACACCAAAAGAUCUAAUUAGUACUUGAAAUAGGUUAUAUUAUGAAAAUAUAAGUAAUAGAGAUUUUUGGGGGUUUUUUAUAAUAAUGAAAAUAUGACAAGUAAUUAAGUAUCGAGAAAUUGAAAAGUGAAAUUAAUCAAAUCUGAUUAUGGGUGAUUAGCUCGCUUCGGUAAUCUUCAUCAACUGCUGCUUCAAGUUCCUCGUCAAUCAACUAGUUGAUAUCCUAGCAGGAUCUUUUGAUACAUCCGCUAGAAUAACAAGUUAGCAAGGACUACUUAUCUUCCGACCUCACAGUUCAUAUCGGUUUGGGGUGAAGGUGUUCACGGAUAGGCCAUACCAAUUUUAGGUUAAUUUCCACCUUGAUAACUUCCUAAGGUUAUCAAGCCUAGGUUUUUGGUUCUUCCUUUCCCAAAUAGCUGAUCCGUUGAGUAACCCUACAAAACAGUUAAUAGAUUAUAUCUCCACUCGUUAAUCCCCUAUAAAAAGAUUAGUUCCUCAUGGUUGUCGUAAACAAUAUAAAGUUAAUAUAAAGCAUAAACAUGAUAAUUGAAUCGAAAGUAUAAAGUUUAAGAAAAAGCCUGAUUUGUAUUACAAAGAAGAAUAAAUCUAAAAAGUUUAAUCUUAUCCACAAGCCAUAUUUCCCAAGGUAAAAAAAGAACAAGCUAAAAUAAAUCUAAAACCUAAAGAAAAGAGAAAUACUAAACUAAAAAUAAAAAAGUGAGAUUCUAAGCUAAGUAAUCAGUGUCUAUAACAUGUGCCAAAUGAGCCUAAUUAGAGAUUUGAGGUGAUCGUCGUCCUUAACCCUACGUUAAUUGACAUUCCUGAACUUUAAGUUGGAUUGUGCAGACCAAAAUGCCCCUUAGCUCGUAUUAAUUCUCGUCUAGAGUCGAUGUUGUGACACAUCAGGACUUGUAUCGAGACAUAAAAUUCAGUAUACUUUUCUUUAAGGUAUCUUCAGGGGUAUGUCACGACACCCUUAGGCUAUGUCGUGACAUCAAAGGCAGUCUCAGAAUUCUUCUACUCUGUUUUCUAUGCUGCGACAUCGAAUCCUUCGUGUUGCGACAUAGUGACCAAUAUCGGUUUAGCACGCCUUCUAAUCGUCUCCUGUAUACUCAUAAAGUUAACCUUUAGACCUCAUUCGGCCCCUAAGUUCAUUAAAAGACUCAAUUUUCACAUUUUAUUGAAUUUAAUUAAACUUACUAAAACAUAAUUAAAAUCUAAUGAUAAUACUUAUUUUCAAGCUCUUAAAGUGAAAAAAUUAGUUUAAUUGCUACACCUAAUUAUGACAGAUCAAUUAUAUUAUUACUUACAUCACUUUUUACACAUAAUUUUAGCUUUUUUAAUAGUAAAUCAAAUUAUCUUAGUAUAUAUUUGUGUUUUCAUACUUGAAGUAAUGAUGUAUGCUUUUUAGUAGUUUUUAUUACAUUUUAGAUAUAUAAAUAUGGUUACAUGUUUGUAACACCCCUUACCCGUAUCCGAUGCCGGGAUAGGGUUCGAGGCGUCUGGGCCACAAAAUUUUUUCCCAAAAUUAAAACAUCUCAAACACAUGCAUUUCGUCCCUUAUACAGGCUUUUGAAGCCUAUAACAUACAUCGGGGAGGUCCGGGACUAAACUGAGAACUUUGAAAUCUUUGGGCAACUUAACCAAUUUUCUUGCUUUGGAGAGUCACAUCCCCGUGUGGGUUGGGCCAUGUGGUCACACACGCCCAUGUGGCUUCGGACACGCUCGUGUCCUCAGCCCGUGUAACUCUCUGUUUAUGACAUCAACCAAACAAAUUGAUCCACAUGGUCAAGCCACACACCCGUGUGCUUGACUGUGUCCUCCACACAGCUGAGACACACGGUUGUGUCUCUGCCCGUGUGGUCAACACUUAGGCUAUUUUCUAAUCCUUAUGUUGUCCUUAAUUCUUUCUCAUCCUUUACACAGCAUGGACCUAAGUUAUUGCAACCAAUUAUAAUCACACGUCAUACAUUAACCCAUAGCAGGAAUAAUUAGGCCUACAAGCCAUAACCAUAAUAACCCACAUCUCAUGGCUAUAUACAAUCGAUCAAUAUAAACCGAUACAUUUGGCUAAUCAUAACAACGACUAAUAUAAAAACUAGUCCUUAUACAUGCCACUCACUUGAAAGUGUUUAAUACACGUAUGACAAUACUCCAGAGUCGAUAGCUUGCUAGUGUGAUGCUACCUCCGACAAUCUCCAACCCCGAGCUGACCUGACAAAACUAAAAGAAAUGGGAAAGGAGGGAGUAAGCUUUACGCUUAGUAAGCUCGCAUGAAAAUAAUAAGCAAUGUGAUAACAUGCUAUUUUUAUAUUCUUUCUAUUUAUUCAAAUUCCAGCUAAGCUGUUUUCUUGAGUCAUAGUCAUUAAAUUAUUUAUAUCCAGAGUUACAAGACUCCAAAUCAAGAUACAUUAAUUUUCUCAGAAACUAGACUCAUACUCUUCUUACCAUAAAAUUUUCAGAAUUUUUGGUCAAUCCAAUAAAUUCAUUUUAUUAAUCAAAUUCUCCCCUGUUUCACUGUUUGAUAGCUUCUACCUUUCUUUACUAAAAUUUAUUUAUCUCAUAGUACGAGACUCAGAUAAUGUUCUUGUAUCUUUUUCAUGAAAGCAUACUCACUAAGGAUUUUAUUCAUAUGACUCAUAACUCACAAUUAUUUUUGUAAAAUUUCUAGUGAUUUUCCAAAGUCAGAACAGGGGAUUCCGAACUCAUUCUGACUCUGUCUCACAAAAAUUCAUAUAUCUCGUAAUAAAAAAUUCUUUUUCUUACACCGUUUCCUUUAUCUGAAACUAGACUCAUUAAGCUUUAAUUUCAUAUAUUAAUCAGCCUCUAAUUCAACUUCCACCAUUUAUGGUGAUAUUUCAAAUUCGGGCUACUGCUGCUGUCAAAAACUAUCUUAGUACAACAUAAUGAUAAUCAUCCCAAGUUUGUCAUAGAAAUUAUUCUUAUAAUUAUCACUCAUUCAUUUGCACUCUUAUCACAAGUCCAUUUCAUUUCACAUGUCAAACACAUGCUCAUGGGUUUCGAGUAUGUUCCUGUGCUAUCUCUUAGCACAACCACUCAUCCAAACAGGACAAUCAUAUGCAUGAUACUAGUAUCAACUAAGCAUAAAUGAGUUUAUCAUGCUGUUUUUCUUUAUAUCACUAUGUAUGUCAUUACUGCUGAAUUAUUAAAUUUUUGAUAGACCUUUCCUUUUCCAGUUGUACACUCGAGGUGUACGUUUCUUUCUGAGUGGUACAUACAAAACAUACCUUUCCUUUUCAUAUGGUAUACACAAAGUAUACCUAACCUUUCCAAGUGUACACACAAAGUGUACAUAACCUUUUCAAGUGUACACAUAUAGUGUACCUUUCCUUUUCAAGUGGUAUACACAAAGUAUACCUUUCCUUUUCAUAUGGUAUACACAAAGUAUACCCUUCCUUUUCAAGUGUACACACAAGGUGUACAUAACCUUUUCAAAGUGUACCGUUUGGGUACAUAAGUCCUUUUCAAGUAUUAACCCUUUUGUGAUACAUUUCCUUUUCAUAAUGAGAUCAAAAGAUUACCCUUUAGGGACAAUCUUUAUUGCAACAUAUGUAAGAUAUUAUAUUCACGGUAAUCACCUGUCCAAUCAGAAAUCAAUAUUCAAACUAAUUCAUGCACCAUUUCAUCAUUUAUAUAAGUCAUAAAUCAAUAUUUGUUUAUUACAUGUACUUAUCAAUUACAAAUCAUGAUGCACAUAAUUCAACAAUCAAUUAAACACAUUUACAUGCUUAAUUUAGUUAUACGAACUUACUUGUCGAAAUCUCGUCAGAUACAACCGUGUAGCAAUUCAUAUAACCCAUGUAAUAGUAAUUUAACAUUCAAUUCAUGUAACAAUAAUUUGCCAUUCAAUUUCACAUGACACAACAAACAUUACAUUUUCCAUAUCAUAAACACCAUCCAUCAACUUCUCCUAAACAUUUUAAAUCAUACAAUUUAUACCAUAUCAAUAGAGAAUUACAAUUCAAGCAUGGUAUUACACUAUUAUUAAUACACAAACUUACCUCGGAUCCAGAAACGACAAUUUACCAUUUUAGUCCAUAACCUUGUAUUUUCUCGAUUUAAGCUCGAAUCUCGAUUUUCUUGAUCUAUAAUAUCACAUUUAGCCUAAUAAUUAGUCACAUUAUUCAUAUGGGUCCAAAAAUCAUAUUUUUACAAAUUUUCAUUUUGACCUCUAAACUUUCACAUAUUUUCACUUUUGCCCCAAUACUCGUAAAAUGAUUUUUAUUCAAUUUCCUUACAUUUUAAGCCUAGCUGAAUCAUUUUCAUAACUAUUCCAGCCCCCAAUUUCCACUAAAUCUCCCUUUUAUGAUCAAUUUUACAACUUUUACAAAACAGUCUUUUCGGACGUUUUCAUCGAAAACUGCUUAGUAAAAGUCGUUUAUUUAACACCCAACACUCAUUUUCUACCAUUAAACAUCAAAAUUCAUGCACGUCACAAAUGGUUAAAUUUUUAAACAUAAACCCUAGCUCAAAAUAAUGGUAGAAAUGAGUAGAUCAUGUUACCGAUAUUUCAAAAAUGUAAAAAUCAUUAAAAACGGGGCUAGAACGAACUUACAAAAAAGCUUGGAAGCUUGAAAAACCCUAGCCAUGGUUUCUCCAUGCAAUUUUCGGCCAAGUGGUUGAAGAUGGACAAAUUUUAGCUUUUAAUUUUGUUUUUAAUUCAUUUUAAUAACUAAAUGAUCAAAAUGCCUAACCAUGUCCAUUUUUGUCCACCAACUUAAACAAUAGUCUAAUUACCAUAUAAGGACCUCCAAUUUAAAAUUUCAUAACAAGUAGACACCUCUAGCAUGUAGAACUCAACUUUUGUACUUUUUACGAUUUAGUCCUUUUGACUAAAUUGAGUGCCCAAACGUUAAAAUUUUUGAACGAAAUCUUCACGAAAUCAUUUCGUGAAAUGUAGACCAUAAAAAUAUAAUAAAAAUGAAAUUUUCCUCAUCGGAUUUGUGGUCCCGAAACCACUGUUCCGACUAGGCCCAAAAUCGGGAUGUUACAAUGGUCUUGUAGGACAAAUCGAGAGCUAAAGAUGCAUAUUCAUGAUGGAACUGUUGCCUAUGUUGCGACACCAAGACAUCGGUGUCACAACAUUGAAGACAGAAGUAAAAACAUGUCAUGGAGCGAAACUGCUUGGUAUGUCGUGACAUAGCCUUACUAUCUUGGAGCGAAGACCCAAUAAACUGUAUAUAAAUUGAAACCUUGAAAUCUUCCCUAUCCUUGGUUCUUUAAUACAUUACAAAAUAAAUGUUAGGCCAUAGGUAUUGUGUAAUACCCCAUACCUGUACCUGAGACCAGGAUAGGAUACGAGGCAUUACCGAAAUUUUCAGAAUAAUUUCAAUUAAUUUAUAUUAUUUAGUAUUCAUUUUCAUGUUUCAUAUAACAUCCUUUUCAUAUAUUCAAUUAAAAAUAUCAUAUAAAAUACGAUACAAUACUUAAAUUUUUAUAUUUACAUGCUCAUUCAGGGUAUCCGAACCUACCUGACUAAAUUGCAGAAAUACCAAGAUUUAGGGGCAUAUUGGUAAUUUACCAUUUUCCCAAAUUUCACCCAAUAUUAAAUUGAUAAUUUCAUUCAAUUUAUUAAUUUAGAUAAUAAAAUAAUUUAUUCCCUUCAAUUUAGUCAUUUUUGACAUUUUUACAAAAUUGCCCCCUAAAAUUUUACUUUUAUUCAAUUUAGUCCAUGAGCUUAAAACAUUCAAAUUAGCCAUGCUAACUGAAUAUUCAUAUAUAUUUUUUCUCCUCCUCCUCUCCAUUCCACAUCCUUAAUGUAUAUAACAUUCUUGUAAGUACGAUUUCACAAUUUACUUAUUAAUGCUCACAUCAAUCUGUUCACACGAGUCAUCGUCACUCAAUUAUUUAUAAUUCGAGCUAAAGAGCUCAAAAUUAAGAUCCGUAAAUUUUCCCUAAAACUAGACUCACAUGUAAUUCCACCAUAAAAUUUUAAGAAUUUUUGGUUUAGCCAAUUAGUACAGUUUAUUCAUUUAAUUUUCCCCUGUUUCACUAUCCAACAGUUCUGACCUCUCUUCACUACAAAUUAAUUAUAUCAUAGUACAAAACUUAGAUAAUGUUUCCACUGAUUUCUAUUGAAAAUAGACUCAUUAAGGAUUCUAAGCAUAUAAAUUUGAGACUCUAAUUAAUUUUCUCCAAUUUUUGGUGAUUUUCCUAAGUCAAAACAGGGGAACCCGAAUUCAUUCUAACCUUGUCUCACAAAAUUCAUUAUAUCUCAUAAUUUACAAAUCCAUUGCUUACACCGUUUCUUCUAUGAAAAACUAGACUCAAUAAGCUUUAAUUUUAUAUUUUAUUCAUCUUAUAAUUCGAUUUCUAAAAUUUAUGGUGAUUUUUCAAAGUUAGUCUACUUCUGCUGUCCAAUAUUGUUUUAGUUCAAGAUGUUUAUUACCAUUUUUCCUCUAAAUUUCAAAGGUCAUAUAAUUCAGUCCUUGCUCAAUUAGCCCAUCUAUUAAGCUAAUUUUUCUCAAUUCACAUUUUAUUCCAUCAUUAUAAACUAUUACACAACAUUUGAAAAUCAUCAUUUUAACACUAAACCUUAAUUCACAACUUUUUCACAAUUAGGUCCUAAAAUCAAUUUCUAUUGAAAGGACUUGAUAAAAUCAUCAAACAACAAAAUCAAAGCUUCAAAUUCAUUUUAUUUCAUCAUAAACAGCCAAAACUUAUCAUUGAUAUCUUUUAAUUUUGUUCAUAAAAUAAAAAACUAAUGAAUUAAACACUUGGACCUAAUUGUAAAAGUCACAAAAACAUAAAAAUCUCAAAGAAAAGGGUAAGAAUUGAACUCACAUAUGUCAAAGUAUGAAAAACCAGCAGCUUUCAGACCUCCCAUGGCGUUUUUGCUGAAGAAAAAUGAUGAUAUCUCUAGAUUUUUCAAAUUUGUCUUGUUUUAUAUGUUUAAUUUGCAAAAUUUCCCAUUUUGCCCUUGUUUCUCCUUGUCUUUUUUGCUGAUUUUCUUGCCCAACCGUCCAGCCCAUACAAUUUGGGUCCAAUUGCCUUUUAAAUCCCUCCUUUUUAAGGACUUAAACUAUUUAAUCACAAUUUAAUAAAUUUCGUAUUGUUUUCAAUUUAGUCCUUUUUAAUUGAUUGACUAACCAAACGUUAAAAUUUUCUAACGAAACUUUAAUACUAACUUAAUAACACUCCAUAAAUAUUUAUAAAAAUAUUUAUGGCUCGGUUUAUAAAUCCGAGGUCUCGAUACCUCGUUUUCAACCAAAUUUACCUGAUUAAUUCUUUUAAAAUCGCAAAAUUCACUAAUUAAAAAUAAUUCUUUUAAGUUCGCGCUUGGGCUAUAAUUAUUAUUUGUUAAAAUUUCUAAACUUACUCGUCGGAUUUAGUGAUCUCGAAUCACUGUUUCCGACACUACUGAAAAAUUGGCUGUUACAUAUUGAGUGUUUAGCAGAUACAUCACGGUGGUUUCAAAAAAGUUUAGAGCGAAAAAGGAAGAAACAAUGUGAUACAAUGAUUAUAGGUCGAGCAAAAAUGUGUGAAAAAAGAAAAAUCUAGAAAAAGUAAAAAGUAAAAAUAAGAAGAAAAAGUACAAAAUAAAAUCAAAAGCAUUGUGAGUGAGAAAAAAAGUAAAAAGUCAAGUGACAAAAUAAAAAGUCACAAAAGUGAGAGAAAAACUCAGUCAUCAAUGCACAAAAACUCAUUCAGCCAACCAUAGUUGUUAGUAUUAUAUUGUCUCUUCCUAUAUGGAGAGAUAAGGAAGGUGAGAGAGGGAGAAAAAAGACGACAAGCUUGAAAGGGGCACCUAAGGGAAGAGAAGGAAUAAUGUCAUGUGCCUAACUAUUUCUAGUGUUUGAACUAUUUUGAGCCAUAUCUUUCUUUGAACUCGUACCGUCCUAAGCCUCAGAAUGUUACAAGCCUAAAAGACCAAUGUGACUUAAGCGUUCUCUGUGCAUAAUCUUCCGGUACUACUAACAAUUGUACUUAAUGAAAAUUUUUGAUUCACAUGAUUGUAUCUGCUACAUAUCUAUUUGAUUUCUGUUAAUGGUGAUAUUGUUAAACAUUUGAUUGUGAGAAUUGCUUCUAAUUUAUUAGUGAUGUAACUUUGUAAACUAAUCUUAAUUUACUUUAAAAAGUUUUCAAUACAUCAAACUAUCAAAAAUAAGUUGCAUGUGCGAUAAAAUUUUUUGUACCUUUACUAUUUGACAACCAUAUUCGUAGUAGUAAUAAAUUCUAAGGGACGUCUUCUUUUUGCAUGCUAUAUGUCUACACUUAGUUUGCUUGAGGACAAGCAAAAAGUUAAGUGUGGGGGAGUUUAAGUGUGAGAUUCUUAUUUACAUCCAUCUUCACUAACUUUACAUUUGUUUAAAUAAAGAAAUCAAGUUAUUUUCGUAUUUUUUUUCCUUUUUCCCAUAUAUGUGUUUUGGUUGCUUGAGGACAAGCAACAAGUUAAGUGUGGGGGGAGUGAUCUACCACGAAUUAUACUAUUAUUUACAUCCCUUUUUACACAUAAUUGUAGCUUGUUUAAUAGUAAAUCAAAUUAUCUCAGUAUCUAUGUUUUCAUACUUGAAGUAAUGACAUAUGCUUUUUAGUAGUUUUUAUUACAUCCUAGAUAUCUAAAUAAGGUUACAUGGUCUUGUAGGACAAAUCGGGAGCUAAAAAUGCAUAAGCAGGCCGAAAAUGUUGGUUAUGUCGUAACACCAAGACACCGAUGUCACAACAUCAGGGACAAAAGCAAAACAAGUCCUGGAGCAAAACUGCUUGUUAUGUCUUGACAUAGCAAGCACCAGAUUCGAUUUUGCAACAUUGCAUGCCUAUGUUGCAACACCACUUCUGCGCAGUCCAAAAGUCCUAGUACGUGACAGUUGUGUUUUUUAGGGAAAUUAGGAGUAUUUUUCCUAGUCAAACUCUAAGUACUUCAAGGAUAGUUUAGACACUUUAAUAUUCCAAGUUUAACCUAUAUAAAGGCCAUUGUAAUAAGUUCAAACACACAAUUUUAAGGAGACAAAAAUUAUUCUUACUUUUUUAUUUUGUUCUUAGUUUCUACUUAGUUUAUUUUAUGUUCUUGUAAUCGAAAGAUCCUAUUCCAAAGUAAGACUUUAGUGAGAGGAGAUUGUUCGGAGUCAUGCUUUCAUCGAUAAAUCCAUGAGCAUAUCUUUUCUUUAUUUUAUUCUCUAUAUUUUUUUCUUUAUCAUUGUUAAUUGAAUGUUUGUGUAAAGAUUAGAAUCAAUUUAUAAUUUAUAUAUAUUUUGCAUGUUUCAAUUUUACUAAUCUUAUUACUUGAUUGAUUGGUAGAGUUCAUUUGGAUUGGUUAGAUCUGGUUGAGUGUUAUUAAACCCUAGGGUUUACGAUCCUAGGAAGUCAUCUAGGUAGGAAUUAACUUGAAAUUGGUAUUUCUUACAAAUCAUUACUUAGCAGAUCAGUGGUUAGGGAAGGAAGAACUUAAACCCUAUGAUAGACAACACUAGGAAGUCAUAUAGUUAUGAAUUAACCCAAAUUUGGUAUUGCCUAUCCAUGAAAACCUUAUCCUACCCCAUUCUAAACUAUAUCAUUGAGAGGUGAGUAGUUCUUGUCGUCUAGUUAGGUUAGUAGAAGUUGAGAAGCCCUGCUAGGUUAAUUAGUAACCAACUAUUUAAAUCCCUACAUUAAUAAUUAAUUAGGUAAAACAAUUGAAUCUAGGCUUAAGAAACUCCCGUAGUCGAAACAAGGGAUAGGAGAAGUUGAUACAUGAACUUAGGAAUAGAUUUAAGUUUAGUUCAAUUUAUUUGGUUAUUAUUAUUAUCAUCUUACUUUCAGAUUAACACUACUAAUCUGAAACUUUAGUAGAUUAGUAGUGAUUUUCGGUAAUUUGCCUAAAAGUAGUUUUUUUUCCAAACUGCAAUCCCUAGGGUAUAAUCCUCGGAAUACUUACCCAGUGUUUCAUUGUAAACAAACUAUAUUACAACCUGACCCAUAUACUUGUAGACACCACCUCAAUUCCAUAUAUUUUGUAACAGUAUUCAUACUUUCGAUGUUGGUAUGUCGAGAGGUGGUCAUUUAGCAAUUUCUAUUCAAAAGUGCAUGUAAGAAAGGAGUCUAGCUAGCUACUCACUAAUUGCUAUAGUACGACAAACCAUUAAUGAAGUUAAUUAAAGCUAAUUACUUAUCUAAGACAAAAAAGGACUAAAUUGUAAAUAACGCAAAACAAAAAAACUACUAAUUAAGAUAAUAGACAAUGGAUGGUUGAUUUCCAUGUUAAUUAACCCUCGAAUUAGGGAUCUAUAUUGCUCACAUUCCUAAGUUGGCUCAAUUUUAUCUUCCGAUCUCAAUUUUACCGACUUAGAUGAAUUAGUUCAGAUUUCACCGAUUAAUCCGGGACUAAUGGACAGGUGUACAACAAGAUUAUUUUAUCUUCCGAUCUCAAUUUUACCGACUUAGACGAAUUAGUUCAGAUUUCACCGAUUAAUCCGGGACUAAUGGACAGGUGUACAACAAGAUUACCUUCCGGUCUCACUUGCCUAAAUAUUCCCUUAUGGGCGUCACUUCCUAAGUUUUUAGAUUUAUUCGAUUUAUUCUCAUUUUGUAAUUUAGUCCCCGAACUCAAAAACUAACCUAGCAACAUUUUCAUCAAACACCUAGUGUUUAGUUACCCAUUACCAUAUUAAAGCUAACAAACAUGAAAGAAACAACUAUGGAACCUGUUAACAUAAACUUGAACAAAAAGAUAAAAGCUUUGAUUUUUAACUUUAUAAAUUUAAAUGAAAAGCAACUAACACAAAGAUAAAGAAACAAGAACACUAAAGAUAAUAGCUUUAACAGAUUAAAAGAAAGAAAACUCAUAUAGCAUUAACUCGAAGAUUAAAAAGUGAUUACAACUAAGUUGAAAGUAUUUAACAUGUAAAUAAAAAUAAGCUAUAGGAAAAACUAACUUAACUAACAACUAUGAAAAUAAGUAAAACCAGAAAGAAACAUAAACUAAAACCCUGAAACUAUAGAGAAGAAAACUACCCUACUCCUAAGUUAGAAGAUGAAAGAAACCCUAAAACUAAAGAGCUUUCUAACCUAAAACUACAACCUUUUUUUUUCUUAGCCAAGAGUGGCUUUUAAUAGUUGAUUCCUGACCCCAAAAAUGUUGCCCAAAUUUACACAUCAAUUUGUGGUAGAUUAAUGGCAAAGGGUCUAUACACCACAAUUUGGUCUAUCUUUGUUUCUCCUAUGUCUAUCAAGCUUUUCACUUCCAUUCAAGUCACUCCCAACCUUACCAUGUGAAGCACUAUUUGUAUCCUUCAACUUUGAUUUGCAUGUGAAUGCCAAGAAGGUCGUUUGUCUUCUAAAUUUGAGGUCUAAAUUUGUUUCUUUGACUGGACCCAAGAAGAUUGACUUUAACAAGCAUCAUUACUUAAAAGUACACCUAUUGUAACACCCCCUAACCCUGUCUCGUUACCGAAAUAGGAUUAUAGAGCAUUACCGAUCAUUACAAUACGUUUGCACAUAAAAAACAAAUAAAUGCAAUACUAUAUAUCUAAUCAUAGCUUUAAUGGACACACAGUACUUAUUAAGUAUAAAUAAAACAAAUCGAGGCUCGAUUGGGAGCUUAGAACAUUUUUCGUGCAAUUUUAAAUUUUCUUCUUUUGAACAGUACCACACGCCCAUGUGGCUAAUAUAACACGCCCGUGUGGCUUGGUACAUGUCAUUAUCAAUAAUUAACAUGUGUUACAAAUGUAUGUACAAUAUUUAUUACACAUGUAUUUUAUUUUUACCAUACACUUGUCUUUCUUUUAUUUAUUUAAUAAUAAUUAAUAUUAUUAAUUUAAAACCUUAAACAUAUAAAAAUCCAAUAAAAAUCUUAGAUUUUAUCUAAGCUUGUCGUCUUAUCUAUAGUAAAUUGGCUUAAUUAUCAUUUUGAUCCUUUUUAUUUUCUUUUAAUCUACAAUUAAACCUUCACACUUCAUUCAAUUUAAUCAUUUUUCCUAAUUAUCCUUAAUUUAAGCUAUUUCACUUCAUUAAACUUUAAUUAACCACUCAAUUAACUUCAUAAAUAUUUUUAAUAAAUAUUUACGAGUCCAUUUUUCAGAAAUGGAGACCUAAAAAUACACUUUUCCGAUAACCGUAAAGUUCGGGUCAUUACAAUUCUCCCCCUUAAUAAAUUUCAUCCUCGAAAUUUGCCUAAAAAGAGGUGGGGGUUCAGUGAUCUCACUGUUUCUUUCGGUUCUCGUAUUGCUUCCUCAAUAUUAUGACUUCACUUUUCAAGCUAAUAUCUCAAUCAGUUCUUCUUUUCCAUACAAUAUAUCAGUUCAAAUUUCAAUAUCAUUUGUCGAGAUAACAUGUAAGAGAUUUGAUCUAUAACUUCCGAGCAUCCAAACAUGAAAAACAUCAUAACUUUUCUGUAAUUUCAAAGGCAAAACCAAGCAAUAUAUCACUGGUCUAACUUUUUCUAUAAUUUCACAUAGCCAAACAGAACAAGAACUCAAUUUCCCAACGUUUUAAGUCUUCAUACGAUUUCUGUUUGUCAAAAACUGCUUUCAGUCUAUCUCAAAUCAAUUUUAUUUUCUUCAGUUUCCCGAAUCAAAAUAACUCUAUCUAUUCCUUUUCUUGCUGCAUCCAGUCAAAUACUAUGAAGUUUUACAUUCACAAUCAUACAGAGCUUCAUACAGUGCUGAAAACUAUUAUCGCGUACCCAAAACUUCUUAUAUUUGUUCUAGAAUCAGAAUGUAAACUAUUUAUCUCAAUCAGAAAUAAUAGAAACUGACAUACCAUGAAUCUGACAAUCUCAGAAACCCAUAUUUCAGAUUAUACUAAGUAAGAAACUUAUUCAUACCAGAAUAAAAUAUGCAAACUUCUCCAUACCUUCGACGAUUAUUCAAAUAUCAUCUUUCUUUUUCGACGAUAAGGAUAAUUUCAUUUCAAACCCAUAGAAAUACUAUCCCAUUUCCAUUUUGAUAUCAUCACUGGCUGUAACAGUCCUGAAGGUAUCAAUAUCUGAUGUUCACUUUGUAAGAGUAUGCCCAAAGAUCAAUCAUGAGAUGGUUGUAAUAACAUACUUGAUUUACCAUGUUUAUUAAUAUAAGGCGUUGCCAUUAUUAUUUCAGUUUCUUUUCUGUGUGUAUAAAUAAACUGUUUUAUAAUAAUGUCCUGAGAAUAAUAUGAUUAUUCUUAAAAGGUCAUUAGUCAAGUAUUAUUGUUGACUAGGACAACAAUAAUGCAUUAAAAAUAACAUGUAGUUGAUUGAUGAUAAAGAGUUGUUAUGGAGUGUCAGAAUCAAUGCAUGAAUAUGUGUGUUAGAGAACAACAUAUUGGACUGACCCGCUAUAAGUAUGGUUCUUAGAUUAUUAUGUAAUUGUCACAACAUUACUCAUAGUGAUUAAUAUGUAUAUGAUCCUCAGACUUGAGAUAAUCAUUAUCCCAACAUCGUGAGAUGUAUAUUCUGAUAUAGUCAAAUGUACACCGUAACUGGUUAUUUUAUAAAGGCUGAUGUUGGAUAUACCACAAUCUAUGUAGAGGGAUAUGGUUGAUCAAUAUAGGAUAAGUCUCUCUUACAUAAUGGGAGUAAUAUCUUAGGCUACUUGAUUGAGUGAGACUAGAAAUGCAUGGCCAUGCUCAAAUAAGUUGAUAUGAGAUGUCAUACUUAUUUGUGUAUCAUAGUCUACUCAAGGUAUCAAGAAACAUGGGAUGGACUAUGCAAAUGUGACUAUUCCAUGACUUGUGUCCAUUCCAGAGAUAAAGGACUUAAGGAUUAAUUUAUGAAAGGUUAAUCACAAUAGGUUAUGUCGAAUCAUGACUUCUUGUAACUUAGGUAGCAAUGAUGCAUUGCUAGAUGCCACUCAUUGUUUGUAACAUUAGAAUCGUUCUAGUAUUACUGCUAACGUUACAAGAACCUAUAGGGUCACACCCUAUGGUUGAAAUGAACGGAAUAAAACAUAGUUGGUAUUGUGUUUGGUUGUCACAUGAAUUAAAUUAAUUAUAGAAUUAAUUUAAUUAGGCAAUCAAAUAUCGAACAUAUUAUAUGUACAAGGAUGUUGUACACAUAAGGAGAACAUAAUUCUAUUAAUAUAUGAAUUUGGUUCGUAUAUAAAUUUAAAUAAAUAUAGUUUACCAAAAUCUUUAUUAUAAGUAAUGUAUAAUUUUCGGUUAAAACAUUAUUAUAUUUAUUUAUUUUAAUUAUGAUUAUUAUGUUCGGAUUAAAAUUUAAUAAAUUAAGAAUUUGUUAUAUACAUACCAAUUAUAAGGGGAGUUAUAUAUUGAAAGGGAGAAAAACCCUAAAAAGUGAAUAUAUAUACAAACCCGAAGCUUUGCUACUAGGUCUAGCAGCCGUCAAGCAAAAUAUCUCUGAAAAUAGUUUUGGGGAUUUCUUCCAUUCAUUAUCAAUUGGGUGGAUUACGUAAAGGCCGGGAUCAUAAAGAUUGCGGUUUGGAUUCAAAAGCAAAAUAGUAUUCUCAUUGCUGAGGCUUUACUGUCUACUCAGAUUGAAAUUUUUGUAAUUUCGAAACCUUUUUCACCCCGAUUCGUUCCUCGCACAUGGAUCCAUGGUUUGGAUAGUCGGAAUAUUUUUUUCACUGUGCCAUGGGGGUACGGGUAUUCCAAUAGUGGUAUCAGAGCCACUUGUGUGAUACGGACUCGGGUUUAAAUACUUGGGUGAUACAAUUGUAUGAGAUGCAUGCUUUAUUUUUAUUACGAUUUUUGACUAUUUAUAUCGUCUAAGCAUAAACUGAUUACCGUUCCUUUCGAUAAUUGAUUAAAUGUUAAUCAUGGUGUUAUGGCCUAUUCAGUUUCAUGUUAUUACUGUUAACUUUAAAAAUCUGUAAUGAUGCGACGGUGGUAUUUAUAGUUUCCAGUAAGAGUUAACUGGCUAGUGGAACAAGGGUUGUUCCGAUAUGAAACCUCAAGGAUUCAAAUCCUGAAAACACGAUUCUGUUGAUAAAAGUUAUCAAAUCGUGAGCUUUCAUUUGACUGGGGUAUGCGGUUCCCAUCAUCUUUCAGUAUGUUUUGUAAUAAAUAAAACCUGAUGGGCCAUAAAAGGUUGAAAGGAUAUUUUAUAAUUCAUUUAGCAAAACGUUGAAUGAUGUAUGCUAUUUUUGAAAUGCACGGUGUUUGAAAUGCAUAGUUAUAGCCCGAUGACCCAUUUGAUAAAAUGUUGUAAUUUUAUAAAUACAACCUGCGUGUUGUGCCUUACUACUAUUCUCUUCUAUUUCUCUUCUCACCUUACUCCCUCGUAUGUAAAACGAGUUUCUGAAUAUUGUAAUUUGCAAAAGCUGCUAUGGACUAGACGAGAAGGAAGAUGAGCCAACUAAUGUGGACUGACAGCUUGUGAAACGGCUUACACCUUUAGGUUUCCUUUUGGUUCUCCCAUUGGCUUGGGUUGAACCACCAUAGUUUAUGGGCUAUAAUGCAUUUAUUUAUUGCUUUAUCUAUUCAUGUAUGAGAUGCUAUAGAUGUCCAAAGCAUACAAAUUUGGUAAUAAUAAACCCUAUUAAUUGAUGAGAUCAAUUAAAAUAUUAAAUGGACUGAAGUAGACCAUAAUUGGUGAGAUACAACAACUUUAAUAAAAUCCCUCUAUUUAAAUAUUAAGUCAACAUGGCCUUCCAAAUUUUUCCCUCAUUAAGGCCUCGAUCAAUACUAUGUAGGUUCUGCCAAAGUGAAGUAGUAGUAUUUAUCUUGGUUAAACGCGAAGAAUAAACAAGUGAUAUUCGCUAUUUAAAAAUUGGUUAAUGACUUAACUAGGUUACUCUAAUAGGAUUAGAAACCUAGAAGCAAGUAAUUUGGAUAAAUCAUAAGAUGAUUAGAACAAGAGUUGUUCAUCAAAUUGUAGGAGUUACAUAUGAUGUAAUUAGCAAGUGUUGCUUACCUAAAUAACCAUAAUCUUGAGAGUAAAGCCAAAGCUGACUUAAGAGGAGGUGAAAUAUGGAUCCUUAACCCACUAGAAAUACUUUCAAGAAAGUCUUUCUGAAAUUAAUAUAUGAGGGUUAUUAAUUUUGAAAUAAAAUAGUAGGAACAUCAUAUAAUAAAGUCCUUUUAAUGAUUGAUAUAAACUUGGUAAAUUUAUUCACACGCAUAUUUUAUUGUUGUAGAUAUAUUAUGGCUGCAAACACUAAUACACUCUCAUUGCGAUCGAUUCUUAAGAAGGACAAAUUGAAUGGUUUGAACUUUCUUGACUAGUACCGUAACUUGAGGAUUGUCCUCAAACAAGAACGGAAAUUAUAUGUCAUUGAACAACCACUUCCUAAUGAACCACCCGCUAAUGCCUCGAGGGCUGAUAGAGAUGCUUACAAGAAACAUCUCGAUGACAUGGUAGAUGUUGGAUGUAUUAUGCUUGCUACUAUGAAUCCUGAGCUUCGGAAGCAACAUGAGGACAUAGUUGCUUAUGAUAUGAUCGAGCACCUGAAAGAACUUUAUCAGGGGCAAGCACGGCAAGAGAGGUUCGAUAUCUCUAAGGCCCUUUUCCAAUGUAAGCUGGAUGAAGGAAGCCCAGUAAGACCUCAUGUCCUUAAGAUGAUUGGUUAUAUUGAAAGCCUAUCUAAGCUUGGGUUUCCAUUGAGCCAAAAGUUGGCAACUGAUGUUAUUCUGCAAUCGUUGCUGGAUAGCUACAGCUAGUUUGUCCUCAAUUUCAAUAUGAAUAAAAUUGACAAGACUCUGCCACAGCUGCUCAGUAAGUUGUGAACUGCUGAAGGCAACAUGAAAAAGGUUGGACCCAAGCCCAUACUGAUGGUCCGUAACAACAAGGGCAAGGGAAAGGCCAAAGUUCAGGCAAAGCCCAAGGGCAAAGGUAGGCCCAAUCCUGGAAAAGGAAAGGUUGCACUGAAACCUAAAGGUGGGGUGUCUAAGGAAGGAAACUAUUUUCAUUGUGGUGUGACUGGACAUUGGAAGCGGAACUGCCCUCUCUAUCUUGAGGAAAUCAAGAAGGCCAAGGCAAGCGGAACGUCUGCUUUAGGUAUUUAUGUUAUUGAUAUUAAUUUAUCAAUUACUACUUUUUGGGUAUUAGAUACUGGUUGUGGUUCUCAUAUUUGUACUUCUGUACAAGGACUACAAAGGAAUAGGACUUUGGCUAGAGGAGAUAUGGACCUGGGAGUUGGAAAUGGAGCAAGAGUUGCUGCAAUAGCUGUGGGAACAUAUACUUUAUCUUUUCCUAGUGGACUUGAUUUAUGUUUAGAGGAUUGUUAUUUUGUGCCCAUUUUAACUAAAAACAUUAUUUCAAUUUCUCGUUUAGACAAAAUUGGUUUUGAGAUAAUUAUUAAUAAUAAUUGUUGUUCAUUUUAUCUCAAUAAUGUUUUCUAUUGUUCGGCACAAUUGAUUAAUGACCUCUAUAUUUUAGAUCAAAUAAAUCUCAUUUACAACAUAAAUACUAAAAGAUCUAAAAUAAAUGACUCAAAUCAAACUUAUCUUUGGCAUUGUCGUUUGGGCCACAUAAGUAAGAAACGCAUAUUCAAACUCCAUAAAGAUGGUCUCUAGGAUGCAUUUGUUUUUGAACAAUUUGAAGUAUGUGAAUCUUGCUUAUUGGGAAAAAUGACUAAAUCUCCUUUUACUGGUAAAAGUGAACGAGCUAGUGAUUUAUUAGGCUUAAUACAUUCUGAUGUAUGUGGACCAAUAAAUACACUGGCCAGAGGUGGAUUUCAUUACUUUAUUACUUUCACUGAUGAUUUUAGUAGAUAUGGGCAUGUUUAUCUCAUGCGCCAUAAGUCUGAGGCCCUUGAAAAGUUCAAGGAAUUCAAAAAUGAAGUACAAAAUCAACUAGGCAAAACUAUCAAGGCACUUCGAUCUGAUCGAGGUGGAGAGUAUUUGAGCUUAGAGUUUGAUGAUCUUUUGAAGGAAUGUGGGAUUGUCUCACAACUUAAUCCUCCUGGUACUCCUCAAUGGAAUGGAGUUUCUGAAAGAAGAAAUCGAACUCUGUUAGACAUGGUUCGAUCCAUGAUAAGUCAUGCUGAUCUACCGACUUCCUUUUGGGGACAUGUACUUGAAAAAGCUACUUUCACACUAAAUCGUAUUCCAUCUAAAUCAAUUCAAAAGACGCCAAAUGAGAUGUGGACUGGGAAACGUCCCAAUAUGUCUUUUAUGAAAAUUUGGGGUUGCUAAGCUUAUCUUAAAUGUUAGACGUCUACUAAGCUUGAACCCAAAUCUGAAAGGUGUAUUUUUGUGGGGUAUCCGAAAGAAACCAAAGGAUAUUAUUUCUUUAAUCCCACUGAGAACAAGAUGUUUGUUGCUCGGACUGGUGUCUUCUUAGAGAGAGAAUUUGUUUCUAGAAAAGGAAGUAGGAGAAAGAUUAAACUUGAAAAAAUUCGAGAAUCACAAGAUACCACUGAACUAGAGAUAGAACAACAGUAAAUUCCACAAGAAAUUGAGGAACAAGUAACUGCUGUAGAAACACAAUCACCGCCGCAGAUCUUUAAGAGAACGCCAUACACCUGAGAGAUAUGGAUUUCUCAUUACAACACAUGGUGACGUUCUUCUUAUCGAUCAAUAUGAGCCUAGAACUUAUCAAGAAGCGGUGACGAGCCCAGACUCUGAGAAAUGGCUUGAAGCCAUGAGAUCUGAGAUGGAAUCCAUGUAUGAAAACCAAGUAUGGAGUACGAUUGACCCACUCGAAGGGGUUAAACCCAUAAGGUGCAAAUGGGUUUUCAAAAAAAAACCGACAUGGAUGGUAAUGUACAAACAUACAAGGGGCGAUUAGUCGCUAAAGGUUUUCGCCAAAUUCAUGGUGUUGACUAUGAUGAAACCUUUUCUCCUGUAGCUAUGUUUAAAUCCAUCAGGAUCUUGCUCGCCAUAGCUGCAUUUCAUCAUUAUAAAAUCUAGCAGAUGGACGUCAAAACAGCUUUCCUUAACGGGAAACUUGAAGAGGAUGUGUACAUGACACAGCCUGAAGGUUUUAUCAAUCCAAAGGAUGCUAAAAAGAUAUGUAAGCUACAAAGAUCCAUUUAUGGAUUAAAGUAAGCUUCUCGAAUUUGGAAUCUUCGUUUUAACGAUGCAAUCAAAGAGUUUGGUUUUAUCAAAAAUGAAAAUGAGCCAUGUAUUUACAAGAAAGUUAGUGGGAGCACUAUCACAUUCUUGGUACUAUAUGUGGAUGACAUACUUAUCAUGGGAAAUGACAUACCUACCUUGCAGUCUAUUAAGACUUGGUUAGGAAGUUGUUUUUCUAUGAAGGACUUGGGCAAAACCACUUACAUAUUAGGAUUCAAGAUCUAUAGAGAUAGAUCAAGACGAUUACUAGGUCUAAGCCAAAGUACAUACAUAGAUAAAGUAUAGAAAAGGUUCAACAUUGAAGAAUCUAAGAGAGGAUUCCUACCUAUGAGGCAUGGUAUUUCACUCUCGAAGGAAAUGUGUCCUUCAACUCUACAAGAGAGAGAACGCAUGAGUAAAAUUCCAUAUGCUUCUGCUAUUGGAUCUAUCAUGUAUGCCAUGUUAUGUGCCCGUCCAGAUGUCUCAUAUACCUUAAGUAUGACGAGCAGGUACCAAGUAGAUCCCGGUGAAGGUCACUGGACCACAGUCAAGAAUAUUCUUAAGUACUUGAGAAGAACAAAGGAUACAUUCCUAAUAUAUGGAGGUGAGGAAGAGUUAAGUGUAAAAGGUUACACCGAUGCCAGCUUCCAAAUCGACAAGGAUAAUUCUCGAUCUCAAUCAGGUUUUGUGUUUUGCCUUAAUGGUGGUGCAGUGAGCUGGAAGAGUUCAUAGUAAAGUAUAGAAGCCGAUUCUACAACAGAGGCCGAGUAUAUUGCAGCCAGUGAGGCAACAAAAGAAGCAGUUUAGAUCAAGAAUUUCAUCACUGGACUAGUGAUUGUGCCUAGCAUAUCAGAUGCUAUAGAACUCCGAUGUGAUAACAAUGGAGCCAUUGCACAAGCUAAAGAACCCAGAUCUCACUAGCGAUCCAAACAUAUACUUAUGCGCUACCAUAUUAUUUGAGAGAUUAUCGAUCGAGGGGAUAUAGAGAUAUGUAGAGUAACUACAAAUGACAACAUUAUUGAUCCCUUUACCAAGCCUCUAACACAGCAGAAGCAUGAUCGUCACACUAAGUCACUUGGUAUUAGAUAUAUGAGUGAUUGGUCUUAGUGCUAGUGGGAGAUUGUAAGAGUAUGGCCAAAGAUCAAUCAUGAGAUGGUUGUAAUAACAUACUUGAUUUACCAUGUUUAUUAAUAUAAGGUGUUGCCAUUAUUAUUUCAGUUUCUUUUAUGUAUGUAUAAAUAAACUGUUUUAUAAUAAUGUCCUGAGAAUAAUAUGAUUAUUCUUAAAAGGUCCUUAGUCAAGUAUUAUUGUUGACUAGGACAACAAUAAUGCAUUAAGACUAACAUGUAGUUGAUUGAUGAUAAAGAGUUGUCAUUGAUAUGGAGUGUUAGAAUCAAUGCAUGAAUAUGUGUGUUAAAGAACAACAUAUUAGACUAACCCGCUAUGAGUAUGUUUCUUGGAUUAUUAUGUAAUUGUCACAACAUUACUCAUAGUGAUUAAUAUGUAUAUGAUCCUCAGACUUGAGAUAAUCAUUAUCCCAACAUCGUGAGCUGUAUAUUUUGAUAUAGUCAAACGUACACUAUAACUGGUUGUUUUAUAAAGGCUGAUUUUGGAUAUACCACAAUCUAUGUAGAGGAAUUUGGUUGAUCAAUAUAGGAUAAGUCCCUCUUACAUAAUGGGAGUAAUAUCUUAGGCCACUUGAUUGAGUGAGACUAGAAAUGCAUGGCCAUGCUCAAAUAAGUUCAUAUGAAAUGUCAUACUUAUUUGUGUAUCAUAGUCUACUCAAGGUAUCAAGAAACAUGGGAUGGAUUAUGCAAGUGUGACUAUUCCAUGACUUGUGUCCAUUCCAGAGAUAAAGGACUUAAGGAUUAAUGCAUGAAAGGUUAAUCACAAAAGGUUAUGUCGAAUCAUGACUUCUUGUAACUUAGGUAGCAAUGAUGCAUUGCUAGAUGCCACUCAUUAUUUGUAACAUUAGAAUCGUUCUAGUAUUACUGCUAACGUUACAAGAACCUAUAGGGUCACACCCUAUGGUUGAAAUGAACGGAAUAAAACAUAGUUGGUAUUGUGUUUGGUUGUCACAUGAAUUAAAUUAAUUAUAGAAUUAAUUUAAUUAGGCAAUCAAAUAUCGAACAUAUUAUAUGUACAAGGAUGUUGUACACAUAAGGAGAACAUAAUUCUAUUAAUAUAUGAAUUUGGUUCAUAUAUAAAUUUAAAUAAAUAUAGUUUACCAAAAUCUUUAUUAUAAUUAUGUAAUAAUAAUUUUCGGUUAAAAUAUUAUUAUAUUUAUUUAUUUUAAUUAUGAUUAUUAUGUUCAGAUUAAAAUUUAACAAAUUAAGAAUUUGUUAUAUACAUACCAAUUAUAAAAGGAGUUAUAUAUUGAAAGGGAUAAAAACCCUAAAAAGUGAAUAUAUAUACAAACCCGAAGCUUUGUUACUAGGUCUAGCAGCCGUCAAGCAAAAUAUCUCUGGAAAUAGUUUUGGGGAUUUCUUUCGUUCAUUGUCAACUGGGUGGAUUAUGUAGAGGUCGAGAUCAUAAAGAUUGUGGCUUGGAUUCAAAAGCAAAAUAGUAUUCUCAUUUCCGAGGCUUCACUGUCUACUCAGAUUGAAAUUUUGGUAAUUUUGAAACCUUUUUCACCCCGAUUCGUUCCUCGCACAUGGAUCCAUGGUUUGGAUCGCUGGAAUAUAUAUAUAUAUUCCACUAUGCCAUGGGGGUACUGGCGUUCCAACAUAGUUUUCAUCUAAUUUACGAGAUUAUUCAUCUCCAGUAUACGUUUCAUAAUCAAUACCAUCGAUAUGUUCAUCUAACAUUUUCAACUAUAAAACAGAACCAAGCAAUUAUAUCAGCAUCCGAUCCCGACUCAAGUUUAACAUAGAAAUGGCAUGUACUUUUAGAAUCUUUUCUAAACUCUAUUUAGUCCUAGAAUCGACUAAACCUAAGUAGCUCUGAUACCACUAAAUGUAACUUCCCCUAACCCCGUCCCGUUCCCAGAACAAUAUUAUAGAGCAUUACCGAUCAUUACAAUACGUUUGCAUAUAAAAAUAAAUAAAUGCAAUACUAUAUAUCUAAUCAUAGCUUUAAUGGACCCACAGUACUUAUUAAGUAUAAAUAAAACAAAUCGAGGCUCGAUUGGGAGCUUAGAACAUUUUUCGUGCAAUUUUAAAUUUUCUUCUUUUGAACAGUACCACACACCUGUGUGGCUAAUAUAACACGCCUGUGUGGCUUAGGACACGUCCGUGCCCUUAGCCCGUGUGCAACAUUGAAUUUAAAACACGGCCUUGACACACGCCCGUGUGUCAGGCUGUGUGGACUCAAUAAUGAGCCUUUCACACUUUACUAGCCAACCCUGCAAAAUUUCAAUCUACAACCAAUACAAAUAUUUUAUAUAUAUAUACUAUCCAAUUUUAGCAAUAAAACAUACAUCCAAUUUGCCCUCAGUGGUACCACAAUUUAUAUCAAUUAAACAUUAUCAUACAAACCUAAUUAAUUUUCUUAGGUUUAGUUACCAAAAUUUACAUGUUUCAUACAUAAUUCAACAUCGUUAUAUCUUUCAUUACCAUUUACAAACAUUAACUUAAUGAUCUAGGUACAUGCCAUUAUCAACAAUUAACAUGUGUUACUAAUGUAUGUACAAUAUUUAUUACACAUGUAUUUUAUUUUUACCAUACACUUGUCUUUCUUUUAUUUAUUUAAUAAUAGUUAAUAUAAUUAAUUUAAAACCUUAAACAUAUUAGAAUCCAAUAAAAAUCUUAGAUUUUAUCUAAGUUUGUCGCCUCAUCUAUAGUAUAUUGGCUUAAUUUCCAUUUUGAUCCUUUUUAUUUUCUUUUAAUCUACAAUUAAAUUUUCACACUUCAUUCAAUUUAAUCCUAUUUCCUAAUUAUCCUUAAUUUAAGCUAAUUCACUUCAUUAAACUUUAAUUGACCACUCACUUAACCUCAUAAAUAUUUUUAAUAAAUAUUUACGAGUCCAUUUUUCAGAAAUAGAGACCCGAAAAUAUACUUCUCCGAUAACCAUAAAGUUCGGGUCAUUACACCUAUGAUAAUUUUUCCUUUAGACCCAAAAUUUUAGUUAAUAAAAGUUGAACCAAGUAUUUUGUAAUUGGUGAUGUCAUAUCCUGUUAAUGUAGCAUGCUUCCACCCACCUAUAGAAAGAACUAUAAUCUAUUGUAAGAUGGCCAUUCAUGCAACAACUCGCAUGUCUGAUGAACAGGCUAAAUGCUAGAAUUGUGCACUUCCAGUUGGUGGAUUAUCAAGCAAAAAGACUUUGGCAAAAAAUGUGGCGAACAGUCCAAGUGUAAGGCAUAAUGGCGGACAAUCUAACCACCAACUGCCUUGAAGCUUUUGUUACAAGCUAACAAGUUUUCAACUUGUUCUAUAAAGUUGCAAGAUUAUUUUAUUUAUCUUUAUUUUGAUAGGUUAAUGUAAACAGUGUUGAUUAAACAAAAAUCAACUAAUGAGUAGGUACCAUGUAUUUAGACUUACCAACUUGUCAAGUUGUAGUUAAUACUUUUCUAUUUAAAGCUAUAUAUUUGAUUGCUAAUCUUUGCUUUGUUUUCUUUUUCCUUUGUAUCAAAAACCAACAAUUGGUACCUAGAGCCAGUCAUUUUUUAGGGCAUUUGAUUUAUCAAAAACCUAUGUUUCUUUGUUGUUUUGUAAAAAUGUCUUCAACUAGUUUUAUACCUCAUGCACCACUAGUUUUUAAUGGUGAAAACUACCAUAUUUUGGUAGUCAAGAUGAAGACCUACUUAAAAUUUUUUAACUUAUGGGAGGUUGUGAGUGCAGAUGUAGAGCCACCAUCAUUAAGAGCCAAUUCGACUUUAACAUAGAUUAGGCAGCAUAAUGAUGAUCAUGCUAAGAAAUUCAAGGUAAUUUCGUGUCUUCAUAAUGGUGUUUCUGAUGUGAUUUUCACGAAAAUUAUGGCCUAUGAGACUCCAAAACAAGCUUGGGAUAAGUUGAAGGAAGAGUUUUAAGGUACAGACAAAACAAGACAGCAACAAAUUAUCAACUUGAGGAUAGAUUUUGAGAACCUAAAGAUGAAGGAGUCUGAAACUAUUAAACAGUAUUCUAACAAAAUCAUGGAUGGUAUAAACAACAUAAGAUUUCUUGGAGAUUAGUUUCCUGAUAGCAGAGAAGUUGAGAAGGUGAUCAUUACACUUCCUAAGAGGCAUGAGUGAAAAAUAUCCUCUCUUGAAGAUUCGAGAGACCUAUCAACAAUCUCUCUAUCAUAACUAAUAAAUUCAUUGUAUGCUCAAGAACAAAGGAGAGUUGCAAGGUAGAAGAAGCAUGUUGAGGGAGCUUUUCAAGCAAGAAAUUAGGAAGGCUUGAGCUCCUCUAACAAUAAAGGAAAGAAAAUCAGGUAAAAAAGACAGAGAGGUCGAGGAGAGAAGGUGUAAAGAAGAAAUAUCCAUAAUGCUCUCGCUAUAAAACGAUUACUCAUUGUGAGAAGUUUUGUUGGUUCAGACCAGACAUACAAUGCAAAACUUGCAAGCAGUUUGGACACGUAGAGAAGGUUUGCAAUAAUAAAGUGUGAAAACCCAACAGCCACAACCACAUUAGAAUAUCCAGGCUUAAGCAACUAAGAGAAAUCAUGCUUAGGAGGAGCAAGUGUUCGUAACCUCUUGUUUUGCACCUAAAAACAAAAUCACAAAAGGUUGGCUAAUCGACAAUGGAUGUACCAACAUAUGACCUCAAAUGAAGCAUCUUCAAAAAGAUUAAUAAAAGUUGCAUUUCAAAAGUGAGGGUUAGAAAUGGCGAACUCAUACAAGCCAAAAGCAAAGUAGGUGUACUGAUCAAUAAGUUAUCAGGUACAAAAGUAAUUUCAGAUGUUCCUUUAGUACCUGAAAUAGAUCAUAAUCUUCGAUAAAGAUAUGAGGCUUUUUUUGGGGACUUCUAAUGUUAGAAAUGUUAGUAAAAAGGUAUAUGAAUAGAUUUUGAUGUGUUUUUAUGUUCUAUAUCAAUGGUUCCUGUUGAUUGCUUUGCGAUGGGUGAGAAUCAGAUGAGUCUCUAAACUGACUUUUGUGUGUAUUAUUCAUACUAGAAAAGCUGUAAGAAAUUGGUUGGAAGGUGAUGUGUGGUCUUGUAAGUUACAGUAUGUUGUGUAUGUGACUUAGGAGUGACUAUUAAAGGAUAUAUAUGACUGUGUCAAUGUUUAUUAAGAAUAGAAUGCAUAUCUGGUAUGAAUAUGAUAGUUCUAGUAAGGCGAUAUGAGGUAUGGUUGCAUCUGAAUGUCAUGAAUAUAUAUGUGUGUGUCUUUGAUGUAUGCUAUGAGGAAUGUUUUUUUAAGAGUAAGUUGUUAUUCAAAUGGUGAAUUUGGAUCAUGUCAGUGCAUGUAGAGUAUGUGUCUGUCUUCGCGGUAUUGUCUAAAGGAGUCUGUUAGGACUUUAAGUACAAAUUCUGAAAAGAAAAUUCCAUGCCUUCCAAAAGGAACUAAAUGAUGGUAAUUACCCAAUGGGGUUAUCUGCGUAUCCCAGGAUGAUGAUAGGAAAACCUCACGCAAUGUGAGUUUAAGAAAAUCCAUAUGUAAACACGUCAGGAAAUGAAGCCUUUGUAGAUAACUUUAAAAAGAAAGCCUUUGUGGCUAACUCUGAAAAGGAAGCCUUCAUGUCAAACUCUGAAGGAAUAGCCUCUAUGGUAAGCCUUUGUGGUGUAAUGUAAAAGGAACACCUAUGUGGCGAAUUAUGAAAAUAAUAGCCUUUGUGGUGGAUUAUGAAAGAGCACCAUUCAUAGCGAAAUUCGAAUGGGCUACCCUUGUGGCAUGUCUUAAUAAAGCUCUUAGUGGGAAAUGUUUAAAAGAUGACCCUUGUGGUAAUUUUUGAAUUAAGCUAAUUGUCGUAUUCAAUUUGGCUUUCAAAUGUAUUCAGAACACAAGCAGCAAGGUAUAAGUUAUCUAUUAAUUAUACGGUGAAGUAUCACAUAAGACUAUCAAUCGAUUAAAAGUAUUGAAUUGAAGAGAUAUAGAGAAAUGAGGAAUUAGUAUGGGAAGUGUAUUCAGAAUAAGGAUUUGAAAUUGUACGUUUGAAGAAGGUAUCUGUCAUCUAUGCACAUGGUCAUACUUGAAUCAUGGUGAAGUGAUGGCUUAGAACUAAGUAUGUUACAGUAAUAGUGUGUUGGUUAAGUUGAUCUUGGAAAGGAAAUGAAAAAAUACUUAUAAAUGCUCGAACGAAAGGCGUGCGUGAUGUAUCGAAUACCCCAAUGGAAAAAGAGUUAAUUUUUGAGUAAGGCAUGAUAUAUAUAGUGUAUGAAGAAUGGAAUUUGACGGAAGCAAUCGCCAAAGACAGGUUUUGAGAGUAAAUCCUAUCUACAAUUGAGAUUCUUAAAGGAUAGAAUCAAUCUUUUAAGAUUACAAAAUCAAGUCUUAUCAUGUUACAUAUCUUCUAAGAUUGGUUUCCUUAUUUGCCAAUAUAGCCCAAAUUUUCCAUAAAUGCUUCACUGGACCACCAAGGCUUCAAGGAGACAGGCUUCUCCACAUGCUCCACAAAUUGAGCCAAUUCAAAUGCGUCGAAUGAGCCCCAUUUCAUCAUUUGACCUCCAUGGAACAAUCUUUGCACAUUCAUCACGGGCUCUGAUCCGCGGCCUAUGACAUAAGCACAUAAAUGUUUAGUAAGUUCAAUUGGCAAGUAUUAUACUUACCUUGCUAGGUGGACCUACAAAUUCAUUGCUCAACAAGCUUCAUAUUCUCAUGUUAGUUACUUAGGAUAAGAUAAGGCAAAUGUAUAGGUAACCAUGUUCAUUAAUACCAUACAAGCAAAUUAUAACAUGUCCAAUAAGUGUUCAUUAUAUUCUAUUGAUCACAUGUGCACCUAUUUCCAAUUUAUUACAACCUUUCAAUUACAAUUCACAAGUUAAAAUAAUCAAGUUCAUACCUUUUUCAACCUUAAUUAUUUUAUUUAACCAUUUCUUGUCUGAUAUCAAUUUUGUAGCCCAUGUAAUCUUAGUAAAAUAGGACCCAAGUACUAUGAGAAAACCAAAAACUGUAUGAGCAUCGAAGUGCUAAGCUCGAAGACUAUCACAUAUCAUAUCAUGUAGGCCUCCGAAGAGGUAUUGAAAGUCUAAUGGUCUACAACAAAUGUUUUACCAAGGGUAAGAUAGAACUAGGUCUUCAGAAAACAAACCACAUACCUCUGAACCUCACACCACAACAAAAGUACUUAGGUGUAAGGCAUGAAGGCAACGUAUAACAAAUAGGCUCAAAGGCGACAUACACAUAUAACCCUAAUUGACAUGCCAAUCAUAUCCUAACCUUUCUACCAAGUUUACAUGAGCUAUCAUUAACAUAUUAAAGAAUUCACAUCAAGUACCAUUAAAGCAAUUUUUCACAUGUAUUGUCAUAUUUCCAUAAUGCCACACUUUAAUCACAAGAGUUAAAAUCUUCAACUGAGGUUUUCAUACCACAUGAAUUUACAUGUUUGUUCAUUCACAUUAACAUGGUUACUAAUCUCAUAAUCAUACUAAAUCUUAACUUGACAUAGUCAAUUACCAUAUUUAACACCUUGUUUCAUAUUUAAUUCUUUGCACAACAUGGUUUAGUCUAUAAACAUAUUAACUAGUAUAAUCCAUUAAGGUUCUGUUAAUAUACUUGUUAAUUAAUCAUCCAUUCUUGAUCUUAGCAUGUUAUAUUCAUUAUGCAUCAAAUUAAAUGUUGUUGAGCUAUUUAACACUUAUAAACAUUGUACUAAAAACACAUAAUAAGCAAAUAUUAUAAGUUCAAGUGAACUUACCUAUUAAGAUAUGGCUAAAAUGAAUGAAAGAUCAUUUAAUGAUCAUCAAUUUAAAUUUUCAUUUCCUUAACUUAAGCUUCAUUUGGUUAGCCUUAUUCUACUCAAAAUACAUACAACACAUACAAGCAUUGAAUUAAUAAUUUGAAUCUCCUUUGGUUAGUCUUACAAGCAUUGGAUUAAUUGAAUUCAACACUUGAUAGCCAUAUAGUGGCCACUUUACUUGUUGAAAAUUCAAGAAUGCUUAACCUUUGACGCAUAGACUUUUAUAUCCAAAAUUGAUAUAACUCCCAAUUUUCCUAUUCAAUUUUUUUGUUCCAACUUUAAAAUUAUAAUUUUAAGACCUCAAAUGAUCCAAAAACAUGUUUAAACUCCAAAGUUCUCAUCAUUAUCUCUAAGGCUUCUUAAGUACUCAACAAUGUUGGUAUGAACAUCCUUCAUACCAAUUUCUAAUCUACCUUCUUUUCUAACUUACUUACACUCUUCUAAGUUCAUCCCAACAAAAGCAUUGAACUAUCAUGAUCAAGCUUUAUCUCUUUAAGUUCCAAGCAUUCAUCUAUGAUUAUCUAAGGAUUUUUCUCAUCAAUUUUAACAUCGAAAUGAAUGGGCUCAUGCUUAUCUAUUAUUUUAUGCUAUCAAUUAAACCAAAAUUCAAAGGAAACUUAUCAAUUUCUUGAAGAGCAGCUAACGGCACCAUGAAAGCUCCAUGAAAAUUUCCUUUUUCUUCUUUGUUCUUAAACGAUGGAGAAUGGAUGAGGAUGACCAUGUAAUAAGCUUAUUCUCUCACCCACUAAGCAUAUAUAUACCUAAUUAAUCAAUUUAUUAACCUUUAAUAAUAAUCAUCCAAAGUUGGGAUUUAAGCAUGACAAAUUGAGCGGAAAUCUAUGGCUUUUGCCAUGCUUCUCCACUAAGUAAAUAAAUGAUGGUUUAUUUGUCAUUUUAAGGCAUUUGAUUAAUUUUUCAUCCAAUCCUCCAAACCUUGCAAGUUCACAUUUAGAUCUUAUGCAUCAAUUAUUAAUUUAUCAAUUUAAUCCAUUAAUAAUUCUCGACAAUAUUUCAUAUCUACCUCAUUAACUUCUCGAUUAAUAAUAAAUUUUCGAAACGGCUUGAUUGAGAAAUCGAAUUAUUCCUAGCACAGCGAAAAAUGGAUCAUCAAACUAUUUUAAUUUGAUUUAUUAAUGUCUUUUCCAAAUUCGUAUUUAAUUAAUAAAUAUUCCCCAAUAACCAACACUCGACAACAGUCAUUUUGGUAGUUCAUUUGAGUUACUUUGCCAUUUCCCUUUUGCUCGGCUUGUCCUUUUUUUUUUAUUUUUCUGAUUACCUUGUUCCCUUUGACCACCUUCAUUAAUUGAUAAUUUUUCCUUGUAUUAUAGGAGAUUUAUAAAUAUUCAUAUUGUAGCAAAAGUAAACUCAAAUUUAGAGUGCACAAGGAAAUAGUCAAAUAUCUCAACUUCAAAAGCCUUUAAUUAAGCCACAAUGUGUUCGCGCACUCUAUUAACACUAGUGAAUUUCAUUAAUAAUAAUUUGAGUACUAGCUAAAAUUUUAUCCCAAGAUUUAAAUUGUCUUUCAAUAAAUCCUCGACAUUUUUGUGGUUGUGGUCUCCAAAUACUUUUGUGAUCAUCCAUAAAGAACAACUUCAGCACGUAAUUCAACUUUAUGAAUAGUCAUCACUAAUUAAAUCAUGCAUAUUAAAUUUGAUAUCAGAAAAGUUUACAAGUAGCUUCAUAAAUACAUAAUUGUGAUAUAUUUGAAUGGUUUUCCACCUCAGCAUAAACUUAUUUUAGAGUAAAUUUGUAUGCGUUUUAGUCUUGUUACAGUAUCCAAGCCUAAUGGCAAUACCUUAAUAGUAAUUAUUCUCUCUAUCUAGUACUCGAAACUGGUUUUAAAUAUCUUCCAUUCAUUCAACAAAUAGUUAUGGUCUAAAGAAAUUUCUGGAAUUCAUGGCUGCCUACUUGCGAGAGGACUAAUGAAAUAUGCGAUGCAAGUUGAUGAAAUCUUAUAAUUUGUAAUAUAAAAAACAAAAACCAUACCUCCUUAAUAACAUAAAUAACACGUUCCAUAAUCAACAUCUGAGAACUUAAAACUUAAUUGUAAUGUUGGCUGAACCAGACUCAAAAAGGGGAGAAAAGAAAAAUAAGUCCGAACCUGAAAAAACUGACCGUAUAGAAAACCCUGACAGGCAGAACAGUAGCAAGCAACAUAAAACCAAGACAUAUUCACUUAAAGCACUUGGCAUCCAAGAGAGGCUCUCCCUCAAAUGGCUCGCAGUCUUCAAUCAUCUGAUUCACCCGUUCCUUCUGGGAUGCAUCUGAGAGGUCAACCUUCUUCCACUCGUAGAGUUCCAUGUCAUAGCACUCGUCAAUCACAAAUUGAGGAAUCUCUUGCCCACGGAAAAGCCAUAGUCCUUUCACCUUGAAUGGGGGGUUAGCACCGAUCACCAACAUCUUCCCAAAUGCAUACUUGCGGGCCAAAUCCAUUCUCUGCAGGAAUCCUCCAACCUUGUUCAUUGUGACAAAUGAAACUGUAUUCUCCUCAUUGUACUUGUAGUCACAAAACCACAGUGAGUAUCCCUCGGGAUCAUACAUGUCCCAGAAUCCUGACACGAAUCAAGUAUCAGAUAUCACAAGUCCAAACAUUGCUUUUAAAAGGGAGUGCUACUGUGAAAACAACGGGAAUACCUUUAAUUGCAACCUCUCGGAAAUUGGUCUUUGUGUUAGAGUAAAGCCUUUUCCAGUCAUCCAGUACCAUCUUACUUGGAGGCAGCAAAUCAAGAGGAUUCUUUGGUUUGGGCUUUGGUGCCUCCUCCUCCUCAGCGGCCUCUGCCUUUGCUGCCUGUUUCUCAACCUCCUUUUUGGCUUCUUUCUUUGGUUCAGCCUUUGGUUUAGUUUCUUUUGGCUGGGCAGCAGGCUUCUUUGAAGGAACAGGUGGUAGAGAGACUGCCUGCUUCACUUCACCAAGAAUCUUCUUGAUUUUUGGCUGAUUAACCAAGGUCCAAAAGUACCUCUCAACAUGAGGGAACUCCGAGGUAAAACUCUUGGUCAUGAUCUGGGAGAAACCCAAGUAGAGGUUACAUGUCAUGAUAAUGUCAGCAAGGGUGACAAAAUGUCCAACAAGAAAUGUGUUGGAAGCAAGAUGAGUGUUCAAAGCGCCAAGGGCUCUCUUCAAUGCAGCAAUA